CGUGCCUGAGCCUUCAGGUUGCUCAUACAUAACUGAAAACAUUUAAUUUAAGCAAGGAUGAGCAUUUAAGUGCCCAGCAAGUAAUAGCAAUUAUAUAUAAGCUGAAAGAAUAUAAGUAUUCUCUUUACAUAACACUUCUACAACGAAUUGAAAGUUGUGAAGUAAUCUGUACUGAUAAAAAAUUCACAUAACAACUCUCUUUCAAAUUCUUUAAAUUUGGCUCUGGCUCUACCCUUGAAUAGGGUUUAAGAAACAUACUAUGAACAUUCUUUUCAUUUUCGAAAAGGUUUAGCGGAAUUCUAUCCUCAAACCGUCAUAACUUACGGGCACGGAGGGUGAUCAGCCCCGUUGUACCCUGUAUUGAUCAAUACUACAUAACUUGAACGAAAUUCAUCGCUCACUCUAUCCGCCUUGCGCAAAAAUCUUCCCAUAUAGGGAUGUUCAUACAUGCCUGGUUCCAAACCCGAAGGUUUUUAAUCUUGCUCAACAAUAAUAUGUAAUUCAACAUAUAUAUACGGGUAAUUGACAAAGGUGUAUCAACAUGUGAACAAAUGCCAUGAUUAUCCAAGUGGGGACACUUGUAUAACCAUUUAUAGAAAUCAAUGAACAGAAUAUAUAUCUGAGCUAACAUGUCGAUAAUCAAAGAGUACAUAAUCUGUACAGGGAUAGAAUAAUUCUGAAACUUCUUACUCAUGUCCAUUGCAUAAAGGAAGUGCAAAGGUAGGAUACUUGCCUGAUUCGCUGAUUACAAAUCUCAACUUAGGUUUUAUCUCUUUAUCACAACCUAUCAAUAAUCAGAUCAUUCGUUCGAUUAGAACAAUAUAUCUUAACACAUAGUACUGUCUAUUACAGUCAGCACAUAGUCUAAUCACAUAAUCACAGUGAUCAUACUUUUAGUUCCUAUUCUAUACUUGAAAUAUUUUUAUACAUUUUUCAAAUAUCUCAUCCAUGCUCUUACAGUAGUCUUUUCUUUCUUUUAUAAGGUCUGACAUUUGUCGGCGUACCGACAGCUUUAUCGGGUAAAUACUGAGUCUAAGACUCUUAUUCUAUACCUCAACAUCUGUAAAUAUCAGACAUCUUAUUUUUAAUCAUUUUCGCAAUUUCCAGAAAUUGAAAAAUUUAAAAUAAUUCAAAUCUGUCACUAAAGGGCCUAUAGUGAUAUAACUGUUACUAUAGGUGUUCUUCUUCAAAUUCAGAACUUCAUAAUCGGUUCUCAAGUCAGCUAGUUUGGCCGGCUAUAACUUUCAAAUAUCGGAAUCAUAAUUAAAUGAUUUAAACAUUAAACAAUUCCAUUAUCAUUAAUAGUUUAAUUAAUACUAAACUAUUAAUGAAACCAUUGCCAAAAUAUAAAAGUUAUUUAUAAUAACUCAAACUAUUUUUAAAACAUUUAUAUUACCCAAAUAAUUACCAUUAAUAUUUAAAUAUUAAUGUACUAUUUAUCCAAAUAUUAAAAGUCAUUAAUUAUAACUUAAAAUAUUUUUAAAUCCUUAAUAUCCUCUUUAAAUGGUUUUUAAAUAAGUAAAACCAUUUUUAAACUAUUUAUUUAAUAUUAAUCAUUAAAUAAACUAAAUAUCAUUAAUAUUAUCUUAAUAUCAUUAAUAUUUAAUUAUUAAUGAAAUUAUCAUUUAAAUAUUAAAAGUUAUAUUUUAUAACUUAAAAUAUUUUUAAAUACCUUAUUUUCAUUUAAAAUGAUUUUUAUAAUAUUAAAAUCAUUUUUAAACUAAAUUAUUUAAUAUAAUCAUUAAAUAACUUUAAUAUCAUUAAUAAUUAUUAAUUAAUGAAAUUCAUCACAAAAUAUUAAAAGUCAUCACAAAUAACUCAUUUACAUAAUCAAUUCCAAGCCAAAAUAAACAUAGUAAACUAACUAGUUUAUUAACAACACUAACUAAACUUCAAAAAUUCAAACUUUAACUAACAAUUAAAAAUAAUAACAUUACAAAAAUUAAAUAAGAAACAUACCCGGAAAUACGAAUUCCACAGACUGAAUACGCACUUCCACGCCAAAAUUUAACUAAGGAGAUCUUUAUAAAAAGUUCUCCCACAACAAAGCCUUUCUCAAAAAUUGGAGGCCUUAUUGUUGGUGAAUGAAACAAAGGCCAAGCCCUUCUAUUUAUAGGUUUAGAAAAUGGUGAAGUUCUCAAUUUAGUCGAUGUGGGACUUGGUUUAUACUAAUUUUUCAAUAGCUCACUUUGCGAUUUUCUAACGCAUUGCUCAUAACUCCGAUUAAUCUGAUUUUUGGAUAUGUUAUACAUGGUAUGUAAGACUAUUUUUAAAAAAUACGAAUUACCCAAUUCGGGUUCAUUAGGUAGCCCAAACAGUGCGUCAAAAGUGGACGUUCAUAACAGUUUUCAAUCUCGUUUCAGCUUUACCCUCUUUCGCUAAAACAGUCAUAACUCUUUCAUUUUAAAACAUUUUUGAGCGAUUCUUGAGCCCACGCGAAGCUAACUUCUGGGGCUACAACUUUUAUUCUUUGACCAUUUCCAAAUUCCGAACACAUCAGCCCAGAAAUUCCGUUCAAAUGGACUGCACCGCACUUGUUGGGAAGUUUUGACACUACUACUUUGAAAUGUCAUAACUCUCUCCUCCGAUAUCGGAUUUAGUCCGUUUCGGAGUCUAUGGAAAGCUUAUUCGGUGUACUAUAACAUACCAAAAGCCCAGAAGGUUUUGGAAACAUUAACUGAUCGAAACAGUGUCCCGAAUAGCACAUCCCGCUGCUGACUUUCAGUUUUGAGAAAUUUGACACAUUUCCUUCCAAUCACCGUAAUUCCCUCAUCCGAGGUCGGAAUGAGGUCAUUCCAAAGCCUAUGGCUUCCUAACUCAGUGCACUACAACAUAUCAAAAGCCCAGACCUUUUAAAGCACAAAAAGUGGACGAGAAUGCCCCCAUUACAGACUGCCCAAAAACAGUUUAUCAUGAUCGGUCAACCAUGUUUGACCAUCUAUAACUUCUAAUCUAUACAUGAUAUGGACUUGAUUCUUUUUGCAGAUUAAAGACCACAUAUCAGGCUACACAUAACAACUUUUGAAGAACAAAACUCAUGAUCGAGCAAAGAGUUAUGGCCUCUGACAUUUGGUGAAAAAAAAAAAGAAUUCGGUUUUUCCAACUUGCUUAAAUCUUCAAAUUCGUGCACUUUGAUGUUAUGGGUCUUUGAUUUAUCAACCCAUAUCAUCAAUUAACAUUCUAUUACACAACUUUAAACAAUCAAUUGCAUCAAAUAACAUCGAAUCAAAGGAUUUCUAGGUUUAGUGUUCUUAUACCCUUUUUGCCAAAAAUUCUUGAUUCUUGCUUCUGAUUUGUUAUGGGUGAUGGUUGGGCUUUGUUUAAGAGUGUAUGGGCAAUCUUGUACAAGGCAAUUAAAUGUAAUAUUUAAUCACUAGAUUUAAUUCUUAUAAUUUACCAAUUAACUUCUAUCCUUUGGUAAAUUAAAACACUUAUACAAUAACAUCGAAAUUAAACCCGGUAAUUAAAAUUAGGGUUUCUCAACGUCAUCAAUUAGGGUUUCUAAUUGACCAUUAGUGGUUCUUUAAUUAUCUGUGUAUGUUACUAACACAGUCGUUACGGUUUCUAAUUUCAACCGGUUAGGGUUAUAAUAAUUAGGGUUUGUCCUAAUUAUCGACGUACAACAGUAAUUAGGGUUUCUUCUAAUUACCGAUAUUCUUAUUCACAGUAACUUCAUAUACACAGUCACUACUCAGAAAUAUCCCAUAACUGAGUUUAAUAAUUAGGGUUUCACAGCACGGUAAUAUGCUAUGACCUAAUUGACCGUCAUUGCUCAAUAUUAUCUGUCCGCACAUACCCAGUACAUAAUUAUGGUACUGUAAAAUCAUUAUAUAAAUAAUAUAAUAUUAUUAUUCUCAUCUCUUGAUCACAAUCCCAAUCCAGGGUUUGGAUCUCAUGUCUGACUUAUUCUUCGUACACAGCAUCAAUAAUCAAGUUAAAAUAAUUAACUUAAAUAUUCUGAACAAUUCAUAUAAUAAAAUAUUUAUUAUAUAAAUCUAAUUAUCACUUCAUAUAUUAUUUCCAAUCAUGUUUUCAUGGAAAAUAAUUAAUAAAAAUAUUUCGGCUUACAGAAAUUUAUUACCAUAUAAUUUGUGGUAAUUAAUAAUUCCAAAAUUAUUUCUAAUUUUUCAAGUAAUAAAUGUAUUCGCAUUUAUCGUUCACUUUACUUGACACUUAGUCUCGUCAUUAAAUAAAAAAAAAAUUUAUACGCAAAAUUUCUUAUUUAUUUUAUAUAGAAAAUCUCGGGUUAUUACAAAUAUCAUCUUACAACAAUACCCUAAAAUAAAUAUUAGGGUUCACAUUACAUAGUCGCAAUUUAAACUAAGCAAAAGAUAACUUCUGCUUCUCAUAAUUAUCCUACAUCUUCUGUUUACCCUUGUCCUUUCCUGAGGUCUCGGGCUUAGCUGCACUAUAAUUCAUGAUAGAGCAAAGAUGAGCAACAAGUUUGCUCAACAAGUUUAAAUAUAACAAUAAGGAUAUAUCAUGAUGAAUGGAAAAAUAUCUGGCAAUGGAUUCAACGAUAUGAAUAUCUGAAGGAUUCAACAAUAUGAAUAUUAUAAGCAAGGACACUGAUUGCUUUUAGAAUAACUGCUAGUCAAGUAGACUUUGAACUAACACUCCAAUGGAAUCAAUAGCUAAUUUACCCUUUGGUUACUGGCUACAGAAUAAGUACUUGAGGGGAUCAGCCUCACGUACUCUAUGUAUACGCAUAACAUUUAAAUCAGCUCUGUUGUAUCUUAUAUUAGAUACCUGGGGUACUCCCCUAUCAUACGAGGGGUGUUCUUUCAGUCUAAGAAUCCUUACCAUCAAUUGGUUUGGAUAGCUUUUAUAAAACUUCAUACGUUUGUCUGACCGAAGAAAGGUUCAGACUCUAUCUGGCACAGUUCAAGAUUUAUUGAACUUUAAUGAUGUACAAGUCCAAGACUGUACGAACUCAAGUGCACUAAGUACGAAUAUCAAUAUUUCGAUGUGGGAUAAUUGUAAAGUAAUUAAACCACUUAAUAGCGUGCUUGGAAACAAGAUUUCAAGCUUAAAUGAAUAACUUUCAAUUCAGCAAUAUCCUGCUCAAUGCAAUAUGAGAAGGAUAGGAAAACUUUCACAAACUCAAAGUUGUGUAAAUUUGGAAACUUGCAACACAAUAAAUUCAGAUACUUGCUCAAUAUAAUUUAGGGUAAGUUUAGGGAAACUUGCUUAACAAAAGUAGGGUUCAAGGAACUUGUACAAUCAAAGAGUGAAGUUCAAAGAAAACUUGCUUACGAUAUACGUUGAAUAAAGUAAUGCAAGGGUUUAGGAUACUUGCCUGCUUGCUCAGCUACAAUAUAAUUCUAGCUUUAAUUAGUUGCAUUGAAACAACCUAAUAUUAAAAAGUCGGUCUUUUCAAUUAAUAUGUUUAAACUAGUACGAGUCUACACUUAAAGAAUCAAAUCAUCACAUAGCAUGUUUCUAUACAUGUAUCAUUACAUUACUCAAUUAGUACUUUCUAACUAUGUCAUAGUUGAAAUCACCAUUUACUAAUUCAUCAUAGGAUUCUUUCAAUAACAUGCUUAUUAUCAUAUGACUACUAUAGUGGACAUGUAUUACAUAUUAGAGCAACCAUAUAAGCAUGCAUCAGUUCUCAAUUUAUUAACAAAACUUAGACGUCACUGCUGACUGGCGCGGUCGCGCUUGGUUUGUACUAAGGAGUGGUGCGGCCACGCUGCUCCUAGUGCAAACCAAGACAUGGCUGCUUCUGCAGUAAGCCAGUGCGCACACAACUUGCACAUAAACGAACAAUCACGCACAACCCACAUGUUAUUAUACGAAUAACUAACUUUUAACCCUUCAUCAAACAUAUCAAAGGUCAUUAUUCAUUUUCACUUAAUCAAGACUUCACAUGUUAAGCUAACAAGGUCGAUUAUGUCUAGUCAUUAUACAUAUGAUACAUGGUCCCUUAGCCUCAAUUAUACAUUCAUAUGCUAGAUAUCAAAAGCAUACUUACAAGUUCUCAAGUUAUAGCUUAUCAAGUUCGUUUCCAAAACUUUAAGUCUCCAUUAGUAAAAUUCAUUCAAUCAUGCAAGAUACAUCUAUACUGUCUAAUUCAUGCUCUCAUAAUCACAUAAUGGAACAUAUGAACAUCUUUUUUAAGUUCAAAACUUAGUGUAUACAUAGUUCAAUUAUACAUACCCAAUAUAGUCCUUAUUCUUGAAAUUCCUAUCUUAAGCAUGCUUGAAUAUCUUAUAAUAUCUGCAACCAUAUAACUAACAUAUUGACCCAUGCCAAGUCAUAUCAGAAUGUUAUACACUUGCAUCCGAGCUUAGAACUUGUUUUGCAAAAAGGUUUAUCAAAACUAUUUUCAAACUCUUUAAGUCCUCUUUGAAUAAUCCAACUAACAUGGCUUACUAUAUACAUAACUACCUUAGUCCACAAGUUCAGGUCUGUUGUAUGCAUAUAGUAAUCAAAGUAACAUGCUCAGAAUAUCUUAAGGAGCUAACAUGAGCAAUUGAUAUCUGCUACCCACGCGGCCGUGCGGUGAAAGGCAAGGGAAGUGGCGCGGCCGCGCCACUUCGACCAGACAUAAAACAAAUGGCCUCUACUUCUACAGAGGCUCAACUCCAAUCAAUGCCAAACAUCUAAUUGCUGCAACUUAACUACUUCUAAUACUUCUAAGCAUGCAUACUAACUAAAACAACACAACCUUAAGCCAAAUCAUACCACAUUACCAAGAAUUCAUGAGAAUUACAAGAAUUUGCCAAAAACCAAUUCAAGAACAUAAGUUUAGAAUUUUAUACCUCUUGAAGUAAUUGGGCAGCAAUACACUCACUCUUACAAGUUCCUUAGUAAUAAUUCUCAGCAAUUACAACAAGGAAGGUGAAGGUCUUAUUUAUAGAAGUUUGGUUAACUAGAUAAUACCAUUACCUUACAAAUCAAACCAUUGACUUUCAAGAAUGCACAAGGGUUAAGGGAGAGUUGGUGAGAGUUGGUAAUCUCCAUCAUGAAUCCCACUCCCCAUCCAUUAAUUGAUCUAGAUUGGUGAGUUUGAGAUGAAGAAUGGAGUAGGCUUGCUAGCUUGUUCACGUGAAAUGAAAUGGGACUCUAAUUAUGGUACAAAGCAAAUUCCCAGCAUUUGCAACAUGUGAAAUAAGAUGCAACCCUCGGCUUAUACCAUAUAUACACAUAAUAUAAUUUGGUUAUACACUAUGUACACUCAAUUUAUUUCAUAUAACAUAGGUUAUAAUGAGUUAAAGAGCAUACAAUGUAUUUCCCAAUUACAAGAUAUCAAGUAGUGCACAUACAUAUAAUUCAUGUACAUUUUCAAUUACCAUGACUGUUAAUGAAAUCAUUAAAAAUUUAACAAUUGAUAUUAUUAUAUAUUAAUAGGGUAUACAUGAAUAUUUACCCAUACACUCCACAUCAUAUAACAAUAUUAUUAUACAACUCACAUGAAUGUAAAUAACUCUUACUGUAUAGUCUAUAUAUAUAGACACAUAGAUAUAUUAAUGUGCCACCUUGUACUAUAUAAAAUAUAUAGUUAACUACCAUAUAAUAAAGGUUUACUCUAUUGUAUGUUUGCACAAAUUAACCAAUAAAAUAUAUAAUCACAUUAUACUCAUUAAUUAUUAUUUAUGCAUAAUAAUUAUUAAUUAACACAUUAUAAAUUAAUUACUCAUAAUUGUAAUUAACCAAUAUGUUCAACUCUUGCUACUAUAUUCAAAUAUAACAUAUAAUGCAAAUGAUACUAUGACAAUAAUCGAAUAAAUAAUAUGAGAGAUAUGAUGCGGUAAUUACUGUAGCAAUAAUUGAGUAUAACUGAGUGACUUCUUACGUAAGCAUCAAUAACCAAUACCGUGUGCUACUAUGCAACCACGCGUAUUACUGUACUUUUACUACCAGGUAGUUCAACAGUUUUAAUGGUAACACUUCCGUCGUUAUUUUAUAAAAAGACAAUUCUAUCAUUUUCUAAAUACGACAAUACUUCCGUUGUGGGGUCCACUAAUGAUUGUGCCGUCGUACAAAUAUUCCCCGACAAAAAGAAUAUUCCCCGACCAAUCAAAUAUUUUAUAACAACUUGCAUACUUUGCAAAAUUUAUAAAUAUUACCCACAACUAUAACAUUAUAUCAAAUCCACACCAUAAUAUUUUAAAAAAAAAUAUUUUGAGAAAUUUAAAUCUUUAUUCAUAAAAUCUGGGGUCUCACAAUCUCCCCUCCUUAUGAAAUUUUGCCCUCGAAAUUUACGUACGCACUUGGUAUGCCGAAGAGAUGAGGAUAUCUUAACUUCAUUUCAGAUUCUAACUCUUGAGGUAUAACCUUUGAAUGUUGAAUACGAUCCUUCUUAUCCAAGAUUUUAACACGUAUCUCCUCAUACGUUAAAUCUUCUGCUAUCUCGUUCGGUUCUAAAUCAAUAACGUGGUUCGGGUCAUCCACAUAUUUACGUAACAUCGGUACGUGAUAAACGUUAUGAACACGCAACAUAUUUGGCGGUAAAACGAGUCUAUAGGCCACAGUUCCUACUCGAUCGAGGAUUUCAAAUGGGCCAAUAAAAUCGAGGGUUGAGAUUUCCUCUCUUCAUUGACUCUUGCUUCUAGAAUAACGCCCUCUUGAACCUUCUUCUUCACAUUCAUCAGCUCUGAGUAUGUAGCUUGAGAGGAUUUAACUUUAUCGAUUAAAGUCAAUUCUACUCAUAUAUUCGUUAUCUUCACGUAGGUUCGUAUAUUCACAUUCGUAAACGCAUACGAUCUUCUACUCAACACGUCAGCUACGUAUUGAAUGGUACGAUCGUAAUCUUCAACAGCUCGAGCCAACGUCUUUGGCGCAUGUUACGUUUAUUUUAGUUGAAGAAAUAUUUAAGGUUUUAGAAAUGGGGUUUUGUACUGGGGUCAGUACAAAAUUUGAUUUCACGCUCUGAGGUAGGCUAAAAAGUCUUCAAGAAUACGUCAGGAAAUUUAUUAACAAUAAAAAAUAUUAUUCAAAGCUGUGACCCUCAUCCAAGACUUGGAUAGCACGUCACAUUGAUUCUUAUCAACUUUCCAUCGUCAUUCACGACGUUGCCUACAGAAAGUCUAGCUUUGGUGCAUUCCACACAAGGAAGUCAACAACAAAAAGAUCGGGGCUCUUUUACUUAUGGCUUGAUAUAAUAGUGAUUGACUUUAGUGGUUUGGUUGCUUGAAUUCGCAUAACAGGUUGGUUAGGAAUAUGAAAGCUAACAACCUUACGAAAAGCAUGAUGAGUAGUUAACCAAUCGAUUCCUAAAAUCACAUCAAAGGCAAGUAUUUUCAAAGAGAUAAGAUCUACAGGUAACGUGAAAAUGUCGAUUUGAAUCAACAAGAUUUAUAAACAGUGGAGGUAACGAAGGCUCCUACUAACGAAGUUUCAACCAAUAAGUCAAAGUCUAACUUCUCCAGAGUCAAAUUUAAACGUUGAACGCAAGCAAGAGAGAUAAAAUAAUGGGUAGAACCGGUAUCUAAUAAGGCAUAGAUUUCGCAAGAAUUUAUAAUUAACUUACCCGUGCUAACUUCGUUCGGUUUACUCGCUUUUUGAGAAGUCACGAAAAACGCUCUUCCUGAAACCACCGACUUUGUUUUGUCCGUAUCCGCCUUUGGUGCCACUGUCCCAGCUGGACUUGACUUUGGUUCACGACAAAAUCGAGCUAAAUGACCUUCUCUUCUUGAAAUUUCCAUUUCUAUUAUCUUGGCCAUGAUUACCACCGAAGUGGUUACCAUUCUUGGCAUGAUAAUUUCCCUCACGAUGGUUGUCAUUGUUCUGAUGGCCGUUGCCACCGGUAUGAUUAUUAUUGUGUUUUUGCUCGUUGCCUUUUGGUUGUGUUGACUCAUUAUCGCGAUCCAAUAACUGAGCCCUAUUCACAACAUCUGAAUACAAACACUGUCACAAAACAAGGGUUAAUUGACAUAUUACAUAUUAUCCAUAUAUUAUGACCGACCAAUUAAAUACCAAAUAAACAUAGGUAGGUCAUACUAGCGAAGGAAUUCCCCGUCUCUCCCCUCCUAGUUCUUAUCUCACAUCUCAGCCAGGGAUCAUAUCCCUAAGCUUUGAUACCAACUGUGACGCCCCCAAAAUAUAGGUAUAAAUCACCCAUCUUGAGUCGCCAAAUACAUGGUACAGAAUACAAAUACAAACUUAACUAUACAACCGUCGUGUAAUAUAUGAUAAUACAUAAACUGAGAGUUCUAAUACGAAUAUUGUCAUCUAGACAAUAUCAACACUCAAAGGAGUCAUCAUUACAUUUAUUGUCACACUAUUUAACAAAAUAGUGAGGACUACUAAUGCUAUCAUCUAGACCAUCACUCCGUUCCCCGACUCGUCCCAACUAUAUUCUCAUUUCCUGAAGAGAACAGUGAAAGAAAGGGUGAGCUCAACUAGCCCAGUAAGAAAUAUUAUGACUAAGAUAAUACAGAAUAAAUUAGCAUUAGUCUUCAACAAUGUUAAACUGAUAAAAUACAAUAGAUAUCAAGUUUAACUGCAGCGGAAUAAUAAAUCCAUUAAAAGAGUCAAGUAGAGAAUAAAAUCUACUAUCUUUUAUGAUUUACAAAGUUUUUCACCACUUUUAUCGCUGAGACUCAGCUUAAUAAAUAAUCCACACCAUCCCUGCACUACGGCCAAGGAUAUUCAUUAGGGUCACGACCACAAAUUAUCCAUGCACUACGGGCCAAGGAUAUUCGUGUAUUCAUCAAUGGUCAUGAUCAUGCCAACAACUGUCCAUCAAUGCACUAUGGGCCAAUGAGNNNNNNNNNNNNNNNNNNNNNNNNNNNNNNNNNNNNNNNNNNNNNNNNNNNNNNNNNNNNNNNNNNNNNNNNNNNNNNNNNNNNNNNNNNNNNNNNNNNNNNNNNNNNNNNNNNNNNNNNNNNNNNNNNNNNNNNNNNNNNNNNNNNNNNNNNNNNNNNNNNNNNNNNNNNNNNNNNNNNNNNNNNNNNNNNNNNNNNNNNNNNNNNNNNNNNNNNNNNNNNNNNNNNNNNNNNNNNNNNNNNNNNNNNNNNNNNNNNNNNNNNNNNNNNNNNNNNNNNNNNNNNNNNNNNNNNNNNNNNNNNNNNNNNNNNNNNNNNNNNNNNNNNNNNNNNNNNNNNNNNNNNNNNNNNNNNNNNNNNNNNNNNNNNNNNNNNNNNNNNNNNNNNNNNNNNNNNNNNNNNNNNNNNNNNNNNNNNNNNNNGAAUAAUAAAUAAUGGAACCAGGUCAGGUGAAAUUCACACCGACAGGAUAUUCCGACAGAAUAUUAAAUGCGGAAUAAUAAAUAAUGGAACCAGGUCAGGUGAAAUUCACACCGAUAGGAUAUUCCGAUAGAAUAUUAAAGAAUGGAAUAAUAGAUGAAUUUCACCAUGUAUGCACUACUUUGCAUUUAUAGGUUAUUCUAAUAUAAUAAUAAAGAAUGGAAUAACAGAAGAAGAUCACCAAGUAUAGGGUAAACCACAUAUACAGGUUAUUCCACCAAGUAUAGGGUAAACCGUGUAUACAGGUUAUUCCAAUAGAAUAAUAAAUAAUGGAAUAACAGAAGGAUUUCACCAAGUAUAGGGGAUUCCGCGUAUACAGGUUAUUCCAACAGAAUAAUAAAGAAUGGAAUAACAAAAGUUCUCUUCAUGAAUACAAAAGAAUAACACCCCUUACGAGUACAACAAAUAAUAUCCCUUACCGUAAAAGACACUAGAUAUCGAAGUAGUGAAGUAGCAGAAUACUCUUCUUCUUUCUCUCUAUAAUUUCUCUCUCUAGAGUUUCAGUGAAUUCGUAAGAAAUAAUGAAGGAAUGAGCUUCUAUUUAUAGAAAAAUGGAUUGAAUAGUAACUAAUUCCUGAACGGUCCAUAUUGAUUUACUUUUAAAUGGACGGUUCAGAUUGAUUUACUAUUAAAACUUAAAGCAACGGUCCAUAAUGAUUUACUAUUAAAACUUUAAACUAGCGAUCCAUAUUGAUUCAUUAUUAUAACUUUCCACCAGCGGUCCAUAUUGAUUCACUAAUAUAACUUCAACCAAUGGUCUGAAAAAUUAGCACAUCUCUUCAUGGAAUAAUAUUGUACCCAAAUACCCGAAUGCACAAUACUAGAGUGAAUAGUAACUAGGUGAAUAGUAACUCAUGAAUAGUACUCCGACACGAAAAAUUCCCCAAAUACCCGAUUGAACAAUAUAACCUCCAAACAUCAAUUAUCAUCGGAAUAGAUGUCAAUUUCUACUAACACAAAUUAUCCCAACACAAUGAAACUAUCAAAUUCAUCUUUAAUCAACACGAACUUAUUCAUCAUUAAUAUUAUAACUCACAAUAUUUAGCAACCAGGUUGUUCCCAGGAAGGAGGGGGCUUUCCGAUAAGGAUUUCUCCUUAUUGGCGCGCAAUUAGAUGACCAAACCUCUCCUUGACAGAACUUCUAGACAUUGUAAAUAUUGCAAUUUAAUAAUAUGAAUAACUUUGUCGACUCAAUUAUUGAUUUCAUAAUAUAACAUAUAAUGCAGAUGAUACUGUGACAAUAAUCGAAUCAAUAAUAUGAGAGAUAUGAUGCAGCAACUACUGUAGCAAUAAUUGAGUAUAACUGAGUGACUUCUCACGUAAGCAUCAAUAAUCAAUACUGUGUGCUACUAUGCAACCACGCGUAUUACUGUACAAUUACUACCGGGUAGUUAAACAGUUUUAAUGGUAACACUUCCGCCAUUAUUUUAUAAAAGGAUAAUUCUGUCAUUUUCUAAAUACGACAAUACUUCCGUCGUGGGGUCCACCAAUGAUUAUGCCGUCGUACGAAUAUUCCCCGACAAAAAGAAUAUUCCCCGACUAAUCGAAUAUUUUAUAACAACUUGCAUACUUUGCAAAAUUUAUAAAUAUUACUCACAACUAUAACAUUAUAUCAAAUCCACACCAUAAUAUUUUAAAAAAAUAUUUCGAGAAAUUUAAAUCUUUAUUCAUAAAAUUUGGGGUCUCACAUUGACUCUCUGACAAGUUAGGCAUCUACUCACGCAUUCUGCAACCUCUCUCUUCAUGUUUGGCCACCAAAAAUGGUGACACAAAUCUUGAUACAUCUUCGUGCUUCUUCGGUGUAUCGAGUAUCUCAUAUUGUGCGCUUCUUGCAAAAUCUUCUCUCUCAGUUCUGGUACUAGCGGUACCCAAAUUUGUCCUUCAAAUCUUAGCAGUCCAGUGCUAUCGAUCUUAAAUUUCAAUUCAUCACCUUCAGUCAAUCGCUUCUUGAUGUUAAUGCAAUCUUCGUCCUUUUCUUUUGCUUCUCUAACCUUAUCCAAUAAAGUAGGACUCGCUGUCAUUGUAAAUAAUUAUUUAUUGGUCUCCAUCAGAUACUUAAACUCCAAGUUUAAUCGUUCAAAAUCUUUCACCAAUUCAUCUUGAAUGGUCAAUUUCAAUAACUUCUCUCGGCCUUUUCUGCUCAAGGCAUCUGCUACUACAUUUGCUUUGCCUAGAUGGUAUAGAAUCUCACAAUCAUAAUCUUUAAUCCAUUCUAGCCAUCGGCGCUGCCUCAUAUUUAACUCUCUCUGCGUGAUGAUAUAAUUCAGACUCUUGUGGUCCGUAUAUAUCUCACACUUCUCGCCAUAAAAAUAAUGCCCUCAAAUCUUCAAGGCAAAAACUAUCACUGCUAACUCCAGAUCAUGAGUCGGAUAUCCCUUCUCAUAAUCUUUUAGCUGACGUGAGGCGUACGUAAUGACCCUGCCGUGUUGCAUCAGUACACAGCCAAGACCCUUGUGUGACGCAUCACUAUACACUACAAACCCUCCCGUGUUGUCCGGUAAAGAUAACACAGGUGCUUGACUAAGCCUCUUCUUGAAUUCUAGGAAACUUUCUUCGCACUUCUCUGUCCAAACGAACUUAACUAUUUUUCUGGUAAGAUUGGUCAACGGUGAUGCAAUUUUUUAAAAAUCUUGAAUGAAUCUUCGAUAGUAUCCCGCCAAUCCUAAGAAACUCCUAAUUUCUGUCUGCGUCUUCGGCUACUCCCAAUUAAUAACCGCUUCUACCUUCGCUGGAUCAAUCAAAACACCAUUCUUGUCGAUAACGUGCCCUAAAAAUUGCAUUCUUUGCAACCAAAACUCACAUUUGGAGAAUUUUGCAUACAGUUUCUCCCUCCUUAAUGUCUCCAACACUAUCCGAAGAUGCUCGGAGUGUUCUUCCUCCAUUUCUGAAUAUACUAGACUAUCAUCGAUGAAUACGACAACACACUUAUCCAAAUACUAUUUGAACACUCUGUUCAUCAAAGCCAUAAAGGCUGCUGGCGCGUUCGUCAAUCCAAAUGACAUUACCAGAAACUCAAAGUGUCCAUACUGAGUUCUGGAUGCCGUCUUUAGAAUAUCUUCCGGCCUCACUUUCAGUUGGUGAUAACCGGUCCUCAAGUCAAUCUUUGAAAAGUACUUUGCCCCCUUCAACUGAUCAAACAAAUCGUCUAUCCUGGGCAACGGGUACUUGUUCUUAAUGGCGACCUUGUUCAAAUCUCGGUAGUCGAUACAAAGCCUUAGCGACCCAUCUUUCUUCUUUACGAAUAUGACUGGUGCUCCCCGAGGUGAUACGCUCGGUCGAAUGUAUCCCUUAUCUAACAACUCUUGUAAUUGAGCCAUUAGUUCUUUCAUCUCUACCGGUACCAGACGAUACGAUUCUUUGUAUACCGGUUCUGUCCCUGGUGCCAAAUCAAUGACAAACUCAAUCUUUCUAUCCGGUGGCAAUCCCGGAAUCUCGUCUGGGAAGACAUCAACGAAAUCCCUUACAAUAGGUAUCUGACUCAGUUCACUCUCGACUCGUCGAGUAUCAACCACGUGAGCCAAAUAACCUAUACAACCCUUCCUAAGCGAUCUCUGAGCUUGCACCAUCGUCAGACAAUGAGAUUGUCUCAGUGAUUUACUACCAUAAAAUACCACCUUCGACUUAUUCAGAGUCUUUAGGUGUACACACUUCUUCUUUUAGUCUAUAACUGCUCCAUUAACUGAUAACAAAUCUAUUCCAAGGAUUACAUCGAACUCCCCCAAAUAAAUCGGUAUCAAAUCCACUUUAAGCUUAAAUCUUCGAAAUUCGGUAUAAAAACUUCUAUGAAUGUAUUCUACGGGGAUAAUUUCCUUGUUCGCUACUUCUACGUUCAUAAGGUGUUCUAAUCUCUCACGGGGUAAGUCUAACCAUUUAGCAAAUUCUUCGGAAACAAAAGAGUAGGUAUCACUCGAAUCAAACAACAUGUAUGCAUCUAUAUCAUUGAUCGAAAUGAUACUUGACACUGCAUCCUUAGAUUCUAUCGCAUCCUGUACGGUCAUGUUGAACGUUCGUACCGUUAGUCUGUUGGCUUGACUGGCUGGCCCUCCAAUGUUCAGUCCAUUGUUGUUGUUGUUGCGGUUGCCACUAGCUGCAUCGCCCUUUCUCUUCGGGUAAUCCUUAAUUUGAUGGUCCAUGGCUCCACAUGAGAAACAUCCUCCAUUUUGCUUAUUUGAACACUGAGGAGCCAUGUGCCCCGGUUGUCCACAAUGAUAACAAACACUUUUUCCUUUCAUGCACUCCCCCGAGUGAUUCCUCCCACAGUUGUUGCACUUCAUACUUUUCUUGGCCUCCCCUCCAGACUUAUUACCUCUAGAGGAUUGACUCUCCGUCCAUUUACGCUUGUUGGGGUUGCUGUCCCCACUGCUUCCCCUUUCUGCCUUUCUUAACCGAUCUUCUUUUCUUUUUUGAAUCGAGCGAUGGCUUUAUUGCCUCCUUCGGCAAUGAUAGCCCUUUCCAAAAUAUCAGAGUAAGUCUUGAUCUUCAACACAGCCAAUGCCUUUUGCACCCAUGGUUUCAGUCCUAGUUCGAACCUCCUUGCUUUUCUAGCCUCCGUGUUAUCCUGAUGCUGAGCGAAUCGGGCUAACUCGUUAAAUCUUAUCACGUACUCUGCGACAAACAUACCACCUUGCUUCAACUCCAGAAACUUAACUUCCAUAUCCUGUUGCGUAUUCUCUGAGAAGUAAUUCUCGAGGAAUAGCUCCUUAAAUCUCUCCUAAGGAAUAACUCCCUCUUCUGCUCGCCCUUAAUUGGCUUCCCACCAAUAGUUAGCUUUGCCCCUCAUCAUGAAUGUGGCAAAACUCGUCUUCUGUGCUUCGGCCACUCGUGCGACCUCAAACACCUUCUCCAUCUCUUCUAUCCAUGUUUGGGCUUCAAUUGGGUCCAAGGUUCCCCAGAAUUCUGGUGGUCCUACCAAUUUAAAGUCCUUAAAGCUACCCAAGUGUUGUCCUGGCUGCCCUGCUAUUGGUGGGGGUCUGUUUUGCAUUGCCUCAGUUAACAGGUUAACAAUGUUUUGCAUUGGAUCAACAUUUGCCCCUCUACCAUUGUUAACGGAUCCUUCCUCCCUCUGAUUUCGCUGAAUUCUCCUAGGCGGCAUGAUCUGAGGAAAUGAAGAAAAUUAUUAGGCUUAUGUGAAAUGCUAUCCAUGUUAGCAUUAAGAAGUUUAAGACGUCUAUCAAUCAUUUUUGAUUUAAAUAAACAACUUCAGUAUCACAAUAAAACUAGAUGGAUUUCCUCAACCCAUCACUUAUAUACUCUACUUGAGUUUUCUAAUAAGGUUAUAACCUAGGUUUCGCAUUCCUAAGGUUUAUAACCUACAACUCUGAUACCAACUUGUGACACCCCCGAAUCUGGGUCCUCUUACCCCGGUUCGGUCAUCAUGAUAAAAUACAAACAUCCACUUCUAAACAACAUACGAUAACUAAAAUGCGGAAUAUAAUAAAAGUACAUCGUUCAUUCAAAAGGUGUUACUAGUCUCAAGAUACGAUAACCUUAAUAUCAUUUUACAAUCAUACCCUAAAAUAAAUAUUAGGUUUCACAUUACAAAGUCGUAAUUUAAACUAAGCAUAAGAUAACUUCUGCUUCUCGCAAUUAUCCUACAUCUUCCCUUUACCCUUGUCCUUUCUUGAGGUCUCGGGCUUAGCUGCAAUAUAAUUCAUGAUAGAGCAAGGAUGAGCAACAAGUUUGCUCAACAAGUUUAAAUACAACAAUAAGGAUAUAUCAUGAUGAAUGAAAAAAUAUCUAGAAAUGGAUUUAACAAUAUGAAUAUCUGAAGGAUUCAACAAUAUGAAUAUUAUAAGCAAAGACAAUGAUUGCUUUUAGAAUAACUGCUAGUCAAGUAGACUUUGAACUAUAACACUCCAAUGGAAUCAAUAGCUAAUUGACCCUUUGGUUACUGGCUACUGAAUAAGUACUUGAGGGGAUCAGCCUCACGUACUCUAUGUAUAUGCAUAACAUUUAAAUCUGCUCUGUUGUAUCUUAUAUUAGAUACCUGGGGUACUCCCCUAUCAUAAGAGGGGUGUUCUUUCAGUAUAAGAAUCCUUACCAUCAAUUGGUUUGGAGGACUUUUAUAAAACUACAUACGUUUGUCUUACCGAACAAAGGUUCAGACUCUAUCUAACACAGUUCAAGAAUUAUUAAACUUUAAUGAUGUACAAGUCCAAGACUACACGAACUCAAGUGCACUAAGUGCGAAUAUCAAUAAUAUCGAUGUGGGAUAAUUGUAAAGUAAUUAAACCACUUAAUAGUGUGCUUGGAAACAAGAUUUCAAACUUAAAUGAAUAACUUUCAAUUCAACAAUAUCCUGCUCAAUGCAAUAUGAGAAGGAUAGGAAAACUUUCACAAACUCAAAGUUGUGUAAAUUUUGAAACUUUUAACAUAAUAAAUUCGGAUACUUGCUCAAUAUAAUUUAGGGUAAGUUUAGGGAAACUUACUUAACAAAAGUAGGGUUCAAGGAACUUGUACAAUCAAAGAGUGAAGUUCAAAGAAAACUUGCUUACGAUAUGCGUUAAAUAAAGUAAUGCAAGGGUUUAGGAUACUUGCCUGCUUGCUCAGCUACAAUAUAAUUCUAGCUUUAAUUACUUGCGUUGAAACAACCUAAUAUUAACAAGUCGAUCUUUUCAAUUAGUACGUGUAAACUAGUACGAGUCUACACUUAAAGAAUCAAAUCAUCACAUAGCAUGCUUCUAUACAUGUAUCAUUACAUUACUCAAUUAGUACUUUCUAACUAUUUCAUAGUUGAAAUCACCAUUUACUAAUUCAUCAUAGGAUUCUUUCAAUAACAUGCUUAUUAUCAUAUGACUACUAUACUGGACAUGUAUUAUAUAUUAGAGCAACCAUAUAAGCAUGCAUCAGUUCUCAUUUUAUUAACAAAACUCAGACCUCACUGCGGACUGGCGCGGCCGCGCUGCUCCUGGUGCAAACCAAGACAUGGUUGCUUCUGCAGUAAGGCAAUGCGCAUACAACUUGCACAUAAAUGAAUAAUCAUGCACAACACACAUGUUAUUAUAUGAAUAACUAACUUUUAACCCUUCAUCAAACAUAUCAAAGGUCAUUAUUCAUUUUCACUUAAUCAAAACUUCACAUGUUAAGCUAACAAGGUCGAGCAUGUCUAGUCAUUAUACAUAUACUACAUGGUCCCUUAGCCUUAACUAUACAUUCAUAUGGUAGAUAUCAAAAGCAUAGUUACAAGUUCUCAACUUAUAGCUUAUCAAGUUCGUUUCCAAAACUUUAAGUGUGACGCCCCCAAAAUUCGGACACCCAUAUCACGAAAUUGGUACAUCACGUGCAACUUCGAAUAUCAUACUAAAAAAAUAUCAACAACAGAAUUAAUAGAAUAAUUUACAUUGAUAUAAUAUAAAUAUUCAUGUCCCAAGGUACCAUAACCAUUACUAUGAUAAUUCAGUGAUUAAACUUAAACAUAACUUAAUCAUCCUUAAAUACAUCAUAAUAAGCAUAACAAUAAUAAUACUACUUCUAAUCUUAAAGGAAUAAGUUAUUUUGUAGCCUUUCCCUUUCCCUUAUCCUUUCCUGAAGUAUCGCCUUGCUCUGCCUUAACUGUGAUGUUUUUAGGGAAGCAAGAGUGAGCAACAAGUUUGCCCAACUAGUAGUAUAGCAAGAAGAAUAAGCAGUUAUAGCAUUUAUAUCUUCAAGGGUAUAACAAUAAUUGAUAGUUCAAGGAUAUCAAAAAAUAUCAAGAGUAUUCAUUAGGUGUCAUUAUAGACUGAAGAAUAUCAACAAAAUUUCAGGAUUUAUUCAUUUCGAGGUUCAAUAAAAAUGAACACUGAGCAGUCACUAAGGACUAAGAACUCUUACUAGAAUUAACAGUAUUAUACUGCAAUCCAAUAUAAACGAGUACAACAGGUGAUCAGCCUAAAGUACCCUACGUUAUGCAUAACAUUUAAUCAUACUCAUGUGCGCACGUCGGUUCCUCGAUAAUAUAAAAUUUACCCUUUUUAAGAGGGUUGUUCAUCUCAGUAGAUUUAUAAGAGUUCGCACCAAAUCGAUUGGUUUGGAUAGCUUUCUUAAAACAUGAUUUUGUUCUAGCCGAAUCAAAGGCUUAAACAAUUUUUAUAAUGCAUUUAUGAACGCUAAGUCCAAUGCUCGUAACAAUGUUAAGGCAUACAAAUGAUUUUUCAAUAGUAAUAGAUGUUUGCUCGAUAUAAGUAUGGCAACAAUUCGGGUUAUACAAUAUACAAUGUAAAGAUCUUAGAAUACUUGCAUUUAAUAUGAGAAUCAAACGAAGUUCGAGAAUUCGCACAAAAUCCAAAGUUGUGUGAGUUAGGAGACUUGCCUUUAGCGUUGAUUACCACUUAUAGCGUAAAAUUACCUCAAUGAACUAUGUUAUCCUAUUUAUGUAUGUAUAGGUAUUCAUUAGACACACACACACACUUGAUAUACAUAUUUGCAUACGUUCAUCACAUAUAUCUAAAUUCAUAUAGGCUAUACACUCAUAGAUGCGUAAUUCACAUUGAUUUACACCUUUAAAAUUUUUAGUACCCAAUGCUCAUCUUUUAUUUGUAUUUGCCAAACAACUUCUUUCUACACAUGCUUGCAUAUUUUAUAAAAUGUCUAACUAGAUGCGUGAACAUGCCGAUCAUCUCUAGAGGCAUAAGCAUCCUAUCCUAAUUGUUCAAAAGUUCACAAUACAAGUCAUAGAGGUUUCAACUCAAUUGGUUUUCAAUUAUUAAGAUGUCAUGUCUAACAAGUAUGUAGGUUAAGUGAAGUAAUACUCCUUGUAUCAAACAAUCAAAACAACAAACUUAUUCCCAGCAGCACCCCCCCCCCCGUCGGGGCGGGAAUUAACUCUACAAAACCACCCGCCGGGGCGGGCAAAGCUUCUAUUAAACAUCCCCCCCCUGUCGGGGCGGGCCUUAUACGCAGCAUGACCCCCGCCGGGGCGGGCAUGACUGCUGCAAAUGAAAAAUUUCUCCCCUGCUCUGAACCUUUAGGAAAUUUUCAACUCAACAACCAACCAACAACAAUGUAAUGAUGUAUAAUUGAUAUAAACUUGCUAUGAAACAUCCCUAGCAUGCUUAUAACACUUCCAAACAUACAAAUAAUUAAAUUCAAGGAUCAAUUCAAGGUUUUUGCCAUUUUUCCAAAGUUUAACACAUUUAGCGAUUCUCUUCAUUACGAAUUCGUUACUUGACCAAUUUACUUCGUUUCACUUUCAUUGACUUCGCAUUUAACCAUAUUAACAACGUCUAGCUUCAAGUUAUACAUUCUAGCAUGCUUCAGCCAUAAACUUUUCAACUCAAAAUAAGUAUUAUUGUACUUUCCUAAGAACUUUGCAAAUACCUGAAUGUAAGAGCAUGUAGAGGAAUAUUACCUUUGGUGGAGUUGAAUUGCUACUCUAGCUUCACUUUGUAGAUUAUAUAAGCUCCACCCAAUCACACUCACACACACUUGAUGUUUUUGACAGAGAAUUUAGCUAAAUGGUUGUGAAUGUGAAGAGCUCCAUUUAUUGGAAAGCUUGUGACCAAUCUAAGCUUUACUCAAUGAAUUAAACCAUUGGAAUGGAGAAGAAGCUGAUGGUUAUGAAGGAUUUGGUAGAAGAGUACCAUAUAGGCCACUCCCCUUCUCAUAAUUUGCUAGCUUUGUGUUUGGUAAGGAGGGACUAGGCCAAUGGCCUAUUAUGUGAAGAAGAAAAAGAGUGCCACUCAAUUUGGGACAAUACCAGUACUCAGCAUUUGCAAGCCAACAUAAUACAUAGAAUCGUAUACUCCAUGUACAUUGAUUUAUUUCAAAUAAUAUUUACCCUAGACUAGGAUAUAAUUUAAUUGGGUACAAAUAUUACUUAUCAUUCCAAUUCUACAUAAUCACUUAUUAUUAAUUAUUUAUUUAACCAAAGUUGUUUUCUCUCAUAGGUCUAGAAUAUACAUUUAAAUAUCCCUACACACAACAUGGGGUCACAUAAGACUCUUUUUCACAUAACUUAAUAAAUUACAUUAGUUAAGCUUACUUUUAUCAUAUAGUUUUAUAUAAUAAUUCCAAUGUCACACCUCAUCUUAUAUUGAAUGAAAAACCUUGUUAUAUAAGAUUUCUUCUUACAUGCUAUUACUCUUGAUAAUUAAUGAAUGACAAUUAGAUAUUAUUUAUUUAUUAAUAGUACUAAUUAAUUUAAUCCAUUUCAUUAUUAAUUAAAUUAGUACUUUCUCAUUUCAUCACUUUGCCACACUAGGCAUAAAUUCCACAAGCUUAUACUAAGCUUCUCAUUACUUUUGCUACCUUGCUUAAUUAUCACAUACUAAAUCAAUUAUAUUAAUUUCCACACUCAUGCCAAUACUAUAUAUAUUUAUAUUCAAAUAAAUACUCAAACAAUCUUCAUUCUCCAUAUUAUAAUAUAUUAAAAUCCACGGGUAUUACAUCAAGUCUCCAUUAGUAAAAUGCAUAGCUUCCAACUUCAAAAUUUUUCUUCUUGCGAUGUAAAUCUGCAUACUUCUUCUGGCAAUCUUGAGCUGCCACUAGUCGAGCUCUUAUCACCCUGAUGAUUUCUACCGUUUGUUGCACCAAUUCUAGUCCCAACAGUUGACGUUCUCCAACUUCGUCCCAGCAUAAGGGCAUUCUACAUUUCCUCCCAUACAGUGCUUCGUACGGUGGCAUUCCAAUACUGGCGUGAUAACUAUUGUUAUACGCAAACUCUACUAAUGGAAGGUGAUCCUCCCAACUACCCUUGAAGUCCCCUCUUUCCUGGAAAUGACCUGGUUCUUAAAUAUUAUGAGUUAUAAUAUUAAUGAUGAAUAAGUUUGUGUUGAUUAAAGAUGAAAUUGAUAGUUCCAUUGUGUUGGAAUUAUUAGUGUUAGUGGAAAUCGACAUUUAUUUUGAUAAUAAUUGAUGUUUGGAGGUUAUAUUAUUCGAUCAGGUAUUCGGGGCACUUUUUGUGUCAGAGUACUAUUCACGAAUUACUAUUCACAGGUUACUAUUCACCCAAAUUACUAUUCACUCUAGUAUUAUUCACUUGAGUAUUUGGGACACUUUUUGUGUCGGGGUACUAUUCACGGGGUACUAUUCCCAAAGUACUAUUCAUGGGGUACUAUUCACCCGAAAAAAAUAUUUCUUUUCUGUCCAAAUCAUUUUUGGGUACAAUAUUAUUCCAUGAGGAGAUGUGCUAAUUUUUCAGACCGUUGGUAGAAAUUAUAAUAGUAAAUCGAUAUGGAUCGUUGGUUUAAAGUUUUAAUAGUAAAUCAAUAUGGAUCGUUGGUUUAAAGUUUUAAUUGUGAAUCAGUAUAGAUUGCUAGUUUAAAGUUUUAAUAGUGAAUCAGUAUGGACCGUUGCUUUAAGUUUUAAUAGUAAAUCAAUAUGGACCAUUCGUUUAAAAGUAAAUUAAUCUGGACUGUUCAUGAAUUAGUUACUAUUCAGUCAAUUCUCCUAUAAAUAGAAGCUCAUUCCUUUAUUAUUUCUUACGAAUUCACUGAAACUCUAGAGAGAGAAACUAUAAAGAGAAAUUAUAGAGAGAAGCUAUAGAGAGAAAAUCUAUAGAGANNNNNNNNNNNNNNNNNNNNNNNNNNNNNNNNNNNNNNNNNNNNNNNNNNNNNNNNNNNNNNNNNNNNNNNNNNNNNNNNNNNNNNNNNNNNNNNNNNNNCUUUGAAGUAGUUAACGUUCUUGAUAAACGUCUAUUGGUUUGCUUGGAAGUAGAAGAAUAUAGUGUUUCUAGCUCUUUCUCUCUCUCAAUAUAUGUUGGUCAAUCUUUGUAAAACCACAAAAGCUCAACCUAAGCCUUGUAUUUUUAGAAAAUACAAUGAGGGGCAAAAUGGUCCAAUUCCCCACCUCCUCACUUAUUUACAACUUUGUCACCAAGCAAAAUACUUGGUGACCAAGUGACACUUGCCUUGCACACAAAGUGGCCGACCCACCUUGCACAUGGGUCAUCCCCAUGGAUUGUCCCAUGGGUUUUACCCAUCCCUUGACCCACCGGUUCGACCCGCAGUUUACUUUUUGGAUUGGAUUUGACAUAAAAACAUUGGGCUUUAACCAAUCUAAUAUUGGGCCUUGACUUGGGCUUGUAUAAUUAAUUCACUGGGCUUGUUUAUUAAUCCAAGUCCAAUUGGAUUGGAUAAAAUCCUUAGCUAAUACUCUAAUAAUACAAUUCGUAUUCUACGCGUAUUAUUCACGUAUUCUCUUCGUAUAAUAUUCAUAUAAUACUCGUAUUAUACGUCGUACUAUUCUUCAUAUCUUACUCGUAUACAUACUAGUAUAAUACUCAUAUUCCUUACGUAUAAUAAUCGAAACGACUAUACGCAUUACAUUUCUCUUUCGAAAACCUCUUCCACAAACCCUUAGGUUUUAAGUCCGCAGGCAAAAACUUAGUUUGCCAUAACGGUAAUAUUAUUGGAUUUUCCAUAAUAUCGUCAUAUUCUAACAUUACGCGUUUCUCAAAAUUUCAAACCCUAGCUCUGAACGUCAUCGGAUAAAUAGUGUUUUUACGCAAACAAUCUCAGAAAACCUUCGUUCUCGUCUUGAUAAUUCACAACAAUUAAUUCUAGCUCAAAGCCAGAAUACUAACCACAUCUACACAUUCUAGGUCUUAGAACGACCUUCGAACAUCUUACUCACAUAAUAACUCAAUUAAAUUCAUUUAAUCCAUAUAAUCAAAUAAAAAUUUAAUUCAUUGAAAAUUCGAAAUUCUUGGGCGUUACAGCUCUUUUGUUGUAUAUUAAAGAUUGUAUUUGUAUUCUGUAACAUGUAUUUGGCGACUCAGAAUAGGUGAUGUAUACCUGUUUUGGGGGCGUCAUAGUUGGUAUCAAAGCUUAGGGAUAUGAUCCCUGGCUAAAAUGUGAGAUAAGAACUAUAGGAGGGGAGAGACGAGGAAUUCUUUCGCUAGUUUGACCUACCUAAGUUUAUUUGUUAUUUAAUUGGUUGGUCAGAGUAUAUUGAUAAUAUGUGACAUGUUAAUUAACCCUUAUUUUGUGGCAGUAUUUGAAAAUGGCAGCUGAAAAUGUCAACAAUGGAGUGAAUGAGACCGUGGAGACACCUCUAAUCACCAACCAGGAUAAUGUAAUAUCAGGCGAAGAAGGAAUUAGAGAUAUCCAUGUGGUGAGAGAAGAAUUAAUAGUUACACCCGAGCUAGUCGUAGAGGUAGCAGCUGAGAGUGAGGAAGAAGAGGAACCUGAGGAGAAUUUAUUAUAAGAAUUCUUUGAUCAAAAUUUAGAAUUGCAAAAUCAUGUUCAUGAGUUAGAAGAGCAGGCUGAAGAACGGCAAGCGGUCAUGGAACAAAAGGAUGCAACAAUUCAAACUUGUGUUACCCGAUAUGUGAUGCUUGAACAAAAUCACUCUUUGGAAGAGUGUAAGAUAUUAAAGUUGGAAUCUGAGAAUUCGAAUAUUAAGGAUCAGCUGAAAGAAGAAAUAACUGAACGAGUGAGAAUGAAGGAUGCGUGGGCAAAAGCCGCACGACGUGUUGAUAUUGUAGAAAGAGACGUCCGAUCCAAAAAAGGCUAAAAUAUAUGAUGUACAUUUCUCUUUUUGGACAGCAAUUGGGAGAACCCAACAUCGAGUUUUAAAUUACUCUGUACACAACGGUCAAUCUCAAUUCGAUAUGGAUCGAAGAUUGAUGAUUUAGAUCAUGAACCAGGAGUACGAUGAAGUAGUUGAGGGUGGAAUAUACCCCAUAGAAAAGUCAAUUCCAACGAUAGUGAUGACACAAAAUGCUACCCCAGAUAAGUAGAAGCCGAGUAGUUCAAAGGAGAGCAGUUGUCAUGACUUCCCAACAAGUGAGGAACCCAAAUGAAGUUAUCACGAGUAAGCUUAUCAUAAACUCUAGCGAAGCCUGUACCGUGUUAGAUACCAGUUCUACUCACUCUUUUAUUUCACGUAGUUGUGUUCAAUGUUUGAAUUUAACUCUGGAGAAGUUAGACUUUGAUAUAUCUGUUUAAACUCAGUUGGGAGAAACCUUCGUUACCUCCACUAUUUAUAAAUCUUGUUCAAAUCAACACUUUCACGUUACCUGUCGAUCNNNNNNNNNNNNNNNNNNNNNNNNNNNNNNNNNNNNNNNNNNNNNNNNNNNNNNNNNNNNNNNNNNNNNNNNNNNNNNNNNNNNNNNNNNNNNNNNNNNNNNNNNNNNNNNNNNNNNNNNNNNNNNNNNNNNNNNNNNNNNNNNNNNNNNNNNNNNNNNNNNNNNNNNNNNNNNNNNNNNNNNNNNNNNNNNNNNNNNNNNNNNNNNNNNNNNNNNNNNNNNNNNNNNNNNNNNNNNNNNNNNNNNNNNNNNNNNNNNNNNNNNNNNNNNNNNNNNNNNNNNNNNNNNNNNNNNNNNNNNNNNNNNNNNNNNNNNNNNNNNGUACCAUUCAAUAUCAUCGUGGAAGAGCGAACGUGGUAGCUGACGUGUUGAGUAGAAGAUCGUAUGCGUUUACGAGUGCGAUGUUGUUAACAUAAUGACUCAUUUCAUAUAACUUACAAAUGAUGAAGAUAGAGUUAAAGACUUUAGGGACCCACAUGAAGAUAACGAAUAUACGAGUAGAAUCAACUUUAAUCGAUAAAGUUAAAGUCGUGCAAGCUACAGAUCCGGAGCUGAUGAAUACUAAGAAGAAGGUUCAAGAGGGCGUUAUUUUAAAACCAAGAGUUGCUGAAGAGAGGAAAUCUCAACCCUCGAUUUAAUUGGCCCAUUUGAAAUCCUCGAUUAAGUAGGAGCUGUGGCUUAUAGACUCGUUUUACCGCCAAGUAUGUCGCGUGCUCAUAACGUUUUUAACAUAUCGAUGUUACGACCGAACCACAUUAUUAAUUUAGAACCGGACGAGAUAGCGGAUGAUUUAACGUUUGAGGAGAUACAUGUUAAAUCUUGGAUAAGAAGAAUCGUAUUCAACACUCAAAGGUUUUACCUCAAGAGUUAGAAUCUGAAAUGAAGUCAAGGUAUCCUCACCUAUUCGGCAUACCAGGUACGUACGUAAAUUUUGAGGGAGAAAUUCCAUAAGGAGGGGAGAUUGUUAGACCUCAGAUUUUAUGAAUAAAUAUUUAAUUUUCUCGAAAUAAUUUUUUUUAAUAUUAUGUUGUGGAUUUGAUAUAAUGUUAUAGUUGUGGGUAGUAUUUAUAAAUUUUGCAAAGUAUGCAAUUUGUCAUAUUAUAUUCGAUUGGUCAGGGAAUAUUCUUUUUGUUGGGGAAUAUCCGUACAACGGUACAAUCAUUGAUGGACCCCACAACAGAAUUAUUGUUGGAUUGAGAAAAUGACAAAAUCAUUUUUAUAAAAAUAACGGUGGAAGUUUUAUCGUUAACUGUUGAAACACCCAGUGUUAAAAGUACAGUAAUACGCGUGGUUGCAUAGUAGCACACGGUUUUGAUUAUUGAUGCUUACGUGAGAAGUCACUUAGUUUUGUUCAAUUAUUGUCACAAUAUUUGUUUUAAAGUUUGGCUUAUUAUUUGGACCCCCAUUUACCCAUUUUUCAAAUAAUCGGAAGGAAGUUAUAAUGUGUAUAUAUAUAUAUAUAUAUAUAUAUAUAUUUUUGACAUGUAUAUAUGUGUGCAUGUGAAGUAGUGGGUGUGGGUAAAAGUGUGCCGUAGAAAUAAAGGAUAAUGAAAAGGGAGUGAGAAAUGUUGUAAUAGUGACGUUGUAUUAAUAUUAUAUAUAUAUUUGUAUAAAAAUGUGGGUGGGUCGUGGUGAGAUUGAUGGAUGAAUUUGGCCAGUUAUGGGAGGAUUUUUCAAAGCUUAGACAUUAUUGCCAAACUUUUCCAAACAUGCAUUAUUAGCUUGUAAAGUAGGGUGCUUCCUAAUUGGUCGAGCUGUUAUAUUGGCAUGUGUUCAUUUUCCUAAUUGGUCAACUCUUUGAAAAUGAAUACUGAUAUGUUGGAACCGUGAAGCUGUGAUGUUUCAUCUGUGAAUUUUUAAAAAAAUAAAUGUUGCGUCCGUUUCUUAACAAUACCCCUUCCAUUCUCCUAUAAAUAGGAUGCUUAGUUAGAAUUGAAAUCACACCAGAAAUUAAGAGAAAUUCUCUUCUAUAAUCUUGAGCGUCUUUCUUUAGCAUUUAACAAAGCUUUGAGCGUAGUGCAAGUUUCUUCAAGUAUAUCCCCGCCCUACCGUCGGAGUACUCUUCUUUAUAAGGUAAGGGAUAUUAUUUAUUUCAUAUUCUGAAGAGAUAUUCGUAUGAAUAUUAUUUCCGUUCAAUAUUCGUAAAGAUAAUCAUUUUUCGUUUAAUAUUCAUAAUGAAUAUUAUUUUCGUUUAAUAUUCAUAAUGAAUAUUAUUUUUGUUUAAUAUUCGUAACGAAUAUUAUUUUCGUUUAAUAUUCGUAAGGGAUAUUAUUUAUUUCAUAUUCUGAAGAGAUAUUCGUAUGAAUAUUAUUUCUGUUUAAUAUUCGUAAAGAUAAUCAUUUUCGUUUAAUAUUCAUAACGAAUAUUAUUUUCGUUUAAUAUUCAUAACGAAUAUUAUUUUCGUUUAAUAUUCGUAAUGAAUAUUAUUUUCGUUUAAUAUUCGUAAGGGAUAUUAUUUGUUGUACUCGUAAGGGGUAUUAUUUCUUUUGUAUUCAUGAAGAGAACUUCUGUUAUUCCAUUCUUUAUUAUUCUGUUGGAAUAACCUGUAUACGCGGGAUACCCUAUACUUGGUAAAAUUCUUCUGUUAUUCCAUUCUUAAUUAUUAUGUUGGAAUAACCUGUUUAUGCGAAGUACCGCAUACAUGGUGAAAUUCUUCUAUUAUUUCGUUCUUUAUUAUUAUGUCGGAAUAUCCUGUCGGUGCGUAUUACGCCUGACCUGGUUCCAUUAAUUAUUCUGUUGGAAUAACCUGUAUGUGCGGUCUAUCGCAUGCAUGGUUAUUUCUGUUGUUAUUCCAUUCUUUAUUAUUCUGUCAGAAUAUCCUGUCUAUGCGUUUACGCCGGCCCUGGUUCCAUUAUUUAUUAUUCUGUUGGGAAUAACUUGUUUGUGCAGUCUAUUGCACGCAUGGUGAAUCCUUAUGUUAUUCCAUUCUUUAUUAUUCUGUUGGAAUAACCUGUCUAUGUGGAUUACCACAUGCAUGGUGAAUGAUCCUUCGUAUUUAUCCCUUAUUAAAUUGUGGAAAUGAUCUGUCUACGUGGAUUACCGUAUGGCGGGCGAAAAUCCAUUUGCAGUUUCAUAUAUUCUAUUAUACUCAGUUGGUUAAAGUUUUGACNNNNNNNNNNNNNNNNNNNNNNNNNNNNNNNNNNNNNNNNNNNNNNNNNNNNNNNNNNNNNNNNNNNNNNNNNNNNNNNNNNNNNNNNNNNNNNNNNNNNNNNNNNNNNNNNNNNNNNNNNNNNNNNNNNNNNNNNNNNNNNNNNNNNNGGGUGAUUCGAUGAUGUGGAUUAUUUAUUAAGCUGAGUCUCAGCGAUAAAAGUCAUGAAAAACCUUUUAAAUCAUAGAAGAUAGUAGAUUUUAUUCUCUACUUGACUCUUCUAAUGGAUUGUUUGUUCCGCUGCAGUUAAACUUGAUGUUUGUUAUAUUGUAUCAAUUUAACACUAUUUAAGGCUAAUGAUAAUUUAUUCUUCAUUAUCUUAGUCAUAAUAUUUCUUACUGGGCUAGUUGAGCGCACCCUUUUUUUCACUAUUUUCUUCAGGAAAUGAGAAUAUAGCUGGGACGAGUCGGGGAAUAGAGUGAUGGAUCAGAUGAUAGUAUUAGUAGUCCUCACUAUUCUGUUAAAUAGUGUGACAAUAAAUGUAAUGAGGACUUAUUCUGAGAGUGGAUAUUGUCUAGAAGACAGUAUUUGUAUUAAAACUCAUAGCUCUCUUGUUGUGUUUUAAAGAUUGUAUUUGUAUUCUAUACCAUGUAUUUGGCGACUCAGAAUAGGUGAUGCAUACCUAUUUUAGGGGCGUCACAGUACUGCUUCCAUCCCAUAGGUUAAUGCAUAGGGGGUUGCCCCAGUGGAAGUGCGCAUUGAGGUUCUGUAGGCUAACAGAGUAAGAGGCAAUAGGUCAGGCCAAUCUUUGUGGUUGGCGGACAUCUUUUGCAUAAUCUUCUUGAUGUUUUUGUUAGCCGCUUCAACAGCACCGUUCAUCUUCGGACGAUAGAUGACAGAGUUAAGAUGUUUGAUGUGGAAUUUACUACAUAAUUCCUCCAUCAUUUUGUUGUUGAUGUUCUUGGCAUUGUCUGACACAAUCACCUCUGAUUGUCUGUAUCGACAAACGACAUUGUUUCUGAUGAAAACAAUGAUGACUUCUUUAGUAACCUUGGGGAAGGAGGCUGCUUCUACCCACUUGGUGAAGUAGUCGAUCAUGGUGAACAUAAAUCGAUGACCAUUACUGCUUUAGGCUUAAUGGGCCCAAUCACGUCCAUUCCCCACAUCGCGAAGGGCCAAGGCAAACUCAUAUUACGGAGUUCCCGUGGAGGGGCGUGUAUAGCAUUCCCAUGAAUCUGGCACUAAUAGCAUCUCUUGACAUGGUUAUUGCAAUCAGCUUUGAGAGAUAGCCAAUAAUGUCCCGUCUUGAGGAGUUUCUUGACAAGGAGGGGGCCACUCAUGUGGGGACCAAAGACUCCGCCAUGGAUUUCAUCCAUAAGCCUUUGGGCUUGAUCUUUGUCUAAACAUCUGAGGAGACCUAGUCCUGCAUCUCUUUUGUAGAGCACGUAAAAUUUCAUAGCAAGUCGAUGGAUCCUCCUUUUUUUCAGUCAGGCUCGCCUCAGUGGGUAUAGAUCCAUCUCGUAGAUAUUCCUUGAUAUGCUGAUACCAAGGAUGUUGGAUGGGAGGUAGCUCAUCCGAUACUUCUCCAAUGUAAUUCCCAUAGGCUGGGGCCUUUUGCAGGGAAAUCGUGACGCUUGGCAAGUGUUCCUUAUUUGAUAUGCGAAUCAAGGAGGCCAAAGUUGCUAAUGAGUCUGCAAAGUCAUUCCUAUUACGAGGAAUGUGUAGAAAGGAGAUUUCUUCGAACUCCAAAGCCAUCUUCAAAACCUACCGAUGGUAGGGCAGCAAAUGUAGUUCCUUGGUUUGAUAGAUUCUGGUGGAUUGUCUGAUUACCAACUCUGAAUCUCCAAAGACAGUUAACCGCCUGAUGCCCAUUGAAUGGGCAAGUUUUAGCCCAUGAGACAGCCUUCAUACUCAGCCGUAUUUUUGGUCCUGACAAACUAUAAUUUGAUGGCAAUGAGAUAUUACUCCCCCGUACCAGAUACUAGAAUUGCUCCAGCUCCAGAACCUUCCAUAUUAACAGCUCCAUCAAAAUACAUCUUCCAUGAUUGGCGCGUAUCGUACUGAUGAUAUCGUUGCACUGUCAUUACUCCUUCAUCGAAGAAAUAUGUUUCCAAGGGUUUGAAAUCUCCUAAUGGUGCGGCGGCCAGUUGAUCCGCAAUUCCUUGACCUUUAAUGGACUUUUGAGUCACAUAUACGAUGUCAAAUUAUUGUAGGAUCAACUGCCAUCUGGACAGCCGACAAUUUAACUUGGGUUUGUUGAACACGUAUUUGAGAGGAUCCACGUGGGAUAUGAGAUGGAUUGUGUGACCAUGGAGGUAAUGUUGUAACCUCAUGGAAGCCCAUACUAAAGCACAACACGUCUUUUUGAUCAGAGUGUACUUGUGUUCACUGCUGUUGAACCUUUUGCUGAGGUAAAAGAUAGCUCAUUCUUGGCCUCUAUCGUCCUUCUGUCCCGGCAUGCAGCCCGUGGCAUUGUCACUUAUGGACAGGUACAUAAACAGGGGAACAUCAUCCCUAGGUGGUACCAAAACGGGAGCUUUGACUAGCUGUUGCUUGAUUGUAAGGAAGGCCUUCUGACACUCAUCAUUCCAUUUCAUGGAGGAGUUCUUCCUUAAGAGCUUGAAGAUUGGCUCACAGGUUGCUUUGAGUUGGGAGAUAAACCUGCUAAUGAAGUUGAUUCUUCCCAAAAAUCCCCAUAUUUCCUUCUCUGUCUGAGGAAUGGGCAUUUCCGUGAUGGCUUGGAUUUUGGCAGGAUCCAACUCAAUCCCUUUGUGGCUGACUAGAAAUCCUAGCAACUUGCCUGAUUUAACACCAAAGGCGCAUUUAGCUGGAUUCAACUUCAAGUUGUACUUACGCAACCUAUUGAACAACUUCCUGAGAUGGUCUAUAUGGUCAUCCUCCUUCCGGGACUUGACAAUGAUGUCAUCCACAUAGAUCUCGAUCUCUUUAUGCAUUAAGUCGUGGAAAAGAGCCAUCAUAGCUAGUUAACAGGUGGCUCCGGUAUUGAUGAGGCCGAAUGACAACCGUCUAUAGUAAAAGGUUCCCCAAGGCGUGAUGUGAUAAGUGGAUUUUAUAUACACGAAUCGCUAUUCAUUUUAAGUUUAAAUUCGUAGUUAUCUUCAUGUUUUGUGUUCGUUUUUACUUGUUUCAUGUUACUUUAUGUGUAGGGUGGUCAUGGAUGCAAUUGGUGAGGAAAGGCGGUCUUUUUGGAGCAAAAGUGGAAAAAAGCGGAAGUAAGAAAAUCUUGAAGUCAGUAGCCUAGCCCGCGGGGGCGGGCUUGUUUAUGCCUGUACCCCCCGCUGGGGCGGGGGUCCCAUUUUUUGCAGCUGUUCUGUUUGGUUUUGACUUCUGUUAGAGCUCGGUUUGUGGGAUUGGGAUGAUGCGUUUAGACUAUAAUAAAAGAAGAAUUCGGCCAGAAGAGAGGAGAGCUUGCUAUUACAUAGAAAAACAACAAUCUUACAACAUAUUACAAGAAUGCCACUUAUCGGCAUACGGUGGACAUUACGGGAGUGAGCGCACCGCGGCAAAAGUGCUUCAAUCUGGGUUUUAUUGGCCUACAGUGUUCAAAGACGCCCACCAAUUUUUGAAAACAUGUGAUAGAUGCCAAAGGGUGGGAAACAUAUUGAAACAAAAUGAGAUGCCCCUACAAACAAUUCUUGAAGUGGAAAUCUUUGAUGUAUGGGGCAUCAAUUUCAUGGGACCAUUCCCGUCGUCUUUGAGUAAUUAGUAUAUUCUGCUCACGGUGGAUUACGUCUCGAAAUGGAUUGAAGCUGCAGCGUUACCAUCUAAUGAUGCCAAGGUGGUCCUCAAGUUUCUACAGAAAAACAUUUUCAUGAGGUUUGGCACGCCAAGAUCAAUAAUUAGUGAUGAAGGCAGUCACUUCUGCAAUAAGUCGUUUACUGCUCUUUUGGCUAAGUAUGGGGUAAACCACAAGGUGGCUACAUCGUAUCACCCUCAAACUAAUGGGCAUGAGGAGGUUUCGAACAGAGAAGUUAAGAAAUUCUGGAGAAAGUCGUAAAUCUGAGUCGGAAAGAUUAGUCACUUCGAUUGGACGACGCAUUAUGGGCGUAUCGGACUGUAUACAAAAUGCCAAUCGGGAUGUCACCUUAUCAACUCUUGUACGGAAAGGCAUGUCACUUACCGGUGGAGCUACAGCACAAGGCCUAUUGGGCAAUACAAAAAUUGAAUUUUGAUCAAGCUGUGGUAGGAGAAAAGAGUCUACUUCAACUAAAUGAGCUUGACGAAUUCCGACUCCAAGCCUACGAGAAAGCCAAGCUAUACAAAGAAAAGGUUAAAAGAUGGCACGACCAGAAAAUUGUGCAACGAACAUUCAAGCCGGGCCAAUCAGUCCUCUUGUUCAACUCACGACUGCGAUUAUUUCCAGGAAAGCUUGAGUCGAGAUGGUCAGGACCAUUUACUAUAAAACGAGUAUUUCCUCAUGGCGCCAUUGAACUCUACAGUCGCAAUCCGAUAGAAACGUUCAAGGUCAACGAUCAACGGAUAAAGCAUUACUGGGGUGGUGAGUCAAACUGGGACGCCGAUAACAUUACCCUCGUCGAUACACAGUAAAACAGGGAGUAGUCAGGCUGAACGACUUAAAAUUAAGCGCUAAUUGGGAGGCAACCCAAUUUUUCUUUAUUUUUCAUAGUUCAUGUUUAAUUUGUUAGGAUGUAGUUUAUGAAGCAGUAGUUAGGACUUGUCAAUUAUAAGUUUUGCUAAAAAUCUCUAAAAAGUACUAAAAAUCUCAUUAAAACUCCAAGUCGUCAAUAAUAUAACGUAUUGCAUGUUUUUGGUUUCAGGAGAGGUCCAACGUGAGUCAGAGCAACAACGACUACGAAAUGGAGGAAAAUCAGAAAAUUUGCAUCUCCACAAUUUUUGGCCAAAAUAUUUUAACAGUGGGCAUGCCUGCCGGGGCGGGCCUCUUUGGCCUAGCACCCCCCGUCGGGGCGGGGGUCCUAAAUCCUGGGCAGAUACGCCUAUUUUAAAACGCAUGCCCCUUCCUUCUCUCCCUCAUACAUACACCUGGUGCUAUCUCAGCUUUCUUUCUUAAACCCACGUCUGACAUCAAAUGCUCAUUCCCCACUACUACCAAUACCUAAAUCCAUAACACCCACAUCCUACCCCACAAAUUCCAUCACUCUCACAAUUUCCUCUCUCCCACAUCCCUCCUAUAUAAACCCUAUCUUAUACUUCCCAUAUUCAACACCAUUAAAUUCGAAUUCUUUAAGAAAUUGGGAUACCCACACUUGAGAGUAGGUUGAUAUAGUGUCAAGUUUUCAUCUUUUCUCAACUCCAUAGAACCAACCUAUGUUUGGGGGAUCCGAACAAGCUGUGCACACCAAGUGUUUGACAGAUUGACUGAACCAAGUUUUCGGGAGAGGAAGUGGUUACUAGCAAGAGUUCACUGUUGAAACUCAAUGGCAUCUCAACCAACACCCAAAUGCCAACGGGGGGCGAGUUCAAGAGCCGCUCCACCGCCAACCACUUAUGAUCGCCGAAAAUUUCUGAGUGUCGCCGCCGCCAACCGUUAUGAGUACAUGCAAUCUAAGGCACUUAUGCCAGAGCGUGGUUUGGCCCCCGAGGGGAACGACGGGGAGAUGAUGUCCCAAAUUCACCAAAAAGGGUGGAUCAAAUUCACUGAACAUCCGACACCCACCGUGGUUAAUAUUAUCAAGGAAUUCUAUGCAAACGCCGAAGACAAAGCUCCUUUCAAAGAGUUUGUGCGGGGUCGAAUGGUUCCAUUUAGUGAUGAUGCAAUCAACGCUUACUAUCAGUUAUAGGUGCCACGCCAUUGUCAGUAUGUCCAAAUGAGAGAUUUUUACCCGGAUUAUGAGGAGGUUGUUAAAAAUUAGACAAAGUCGGGCACAUCUUGGACCAAAGGUAAGAAGGGAGGAACAAUGUUCAAUAGCAAGGACUUAAGCCGGUAUGGAAAGAUAUGGUACGCAUUUUUAUGUGCAAAAUUUCUUCCGUCCCAACACACUUCGGACGUCACCAAAGAGAAGGCGUUACUGUUAUACGCCAUUGUGCAAGAUUUCAUUAUCGACGUCGGGGCCAUCAUCAGUUUCUCCAUCCGCCGGUGCUUACGUGGAAAUUUUUCGGGCGGUUUUCCACACCCUUCACUUAUAUGUGCGUUGUGCCACAACGCCGGGGUGCGUUAUUCUGAUGAUGAGCCAACUCAACCGCUGCUUGCUUUGCUUGAUUCACGAAUGAUUGUGCGGUAUUCAGUGUGGGGUGGAGGAGAAUCACAUCCACGGGGUUUAGGUUUUAUUUUUCCAUCGAUGUCGAAAGACAAAGUCGAUGCCGAAGAUACCUCGGGGGAUGAGGAUGAAACAAUGGGAGAUUAAGGAACCGAGCAGGUUCUGCAGACUGAGGCAUUUUCUAGUACUCAGUUCCUUGAGUUCCAAAAUCAAAUGAAUGCGCAUAAUAGGGCAGCAUGCCGGGAAAUGCGGCGAUUGGCGAUGCGCCAAGAUCACAUGUUUGAUGCCAUGAACGUAUCUUUCACCUCAUUCAACACAACGCUUUAAAGUUUUAACCCGGCGGCUCAAUUUCCAUAUCAACAACCCGGUCCUUUACCUUGAUUUCCUCCUAGUGAUUCCGAUGAGGAAGAGCACCAACCACCGCCCCAUACUUUGACGAUUCCAGGGAAGUCCUAUUGCACUUUAUUGCUAUCCAAUGAGGGCAUUGUCUUAUUUAAGUUUGGGGGAGUAAUUUGUUUAGUUGCAUACAUGCAUUUUUAACUUUUUGUUGUCAUAUCUAGUUUUGCAUUAUAGAAUAGGUUUUUGCAUAGUAGUUAGGAUUUUGCAUUGUUUUCAUUUAUCUAAAAAAAAUUAAAAAAAAUAUAUAAAAAAAAUAAAAAAAAUUGUUAAAUAGUGUGUUUGCAUAUGUCCAACGGUGUCGCAUUUUUCAUGUUAUUUUUGUGGGCCAAUGAUGAGAUUGUGAACAAGUUAACCAAUAUAGUAUGGAUUAUUAGAACUAUGAUAUAAUUUUUGUUAUGAAUCGAUUCUUGGACUUGUUUGAAACUGUUAUCAAAGGGGUAGCACUAAUAACAUCUUUGUUGACCGGUUAGUUCAAAUUAAUACAUAAAAAGUUACUAAAGGGUACCUAGGGUGAACUAGAAAAUGACAAGGAUAGGCAGUGAAGGCUUAACUUAGGCACAAACCUAAGUUUGGGGGAAUACAUGUGGGAUAUAUAAGCUUGUUUUAAAAAAAAGAAAAGAAAAAGAAAAGAAAAUAUGUUGAGUCUUGUGGUGGGUUGAGGAGAAACACUCCCCAUAAACACAAGAGAGAGAUGGAGCGUAAAACGCACUCACCAACCAUCUAUUAGAAGAAAAAGAAAAGGGAAGUAAUCACGGGAAAAGAACAAAAAGCCCCCGUGUAAAAAAAAGAGAAGGAAGAAAAGAAAGUAUAAGUAUCCUGCAUGUACCCUUGAAUUUGGUUGAGUUUAAUUUUAGUUGAAUCGUGCCUAUCUUUGAGAUUUUUGAGUUUGCACUGUAUGAUUCCUUCUAAGAAGUUUUUUAUGUAUUGAAUUUGGGUCCGUAUUAGUUAUCUUAGAUGUUGAUCACACACGCACGCUAUACCAGUAAUAGUUGUUCAAGAAUUAAGAAUUAAUACGUAAUUGUGGAUUAGUUUUGAUAAUUUGUUUUGUUAAGUUGCUUGUUUUCUCUAAGGCCUAUGGGAUAAGUCAGUUUAUGCGAUGUUGUUGGAUUUUUAGGCAUUUAGAUUGUUAUUGCAUUUCAUUGCAUUGCAUAGCAUGUAGUUUGUUUUGUGCUCGAGGACUAGCACGGUUUAAGUUUGGGGGAAUUUGAUAAGUGGAUUUUAUAUACACGAAUUGCUAUUCAUUUCAAGUUUAAAUUCGUAGUUAUCUUCGUGUUUUGUGUUCAUUUUUAAUUAUUCCAUGUUAUUUUAUGUGUAGGGUGUCAUAGAUGCAAUUGGUGAGGAAAGGUGGUCUUCUUGGAGCAAAAGUGGAAAAAAGUGGAAGUAAGAAAAUCUUGAAGUCAGUAGCCUAGCCCGCCGGGGCGGGCAUUUUUAUGCUUGUACCCCCCGUCGGGGUGGGGGUCCCGUUUUCUGCAGCUGUCCUAUUUGGUUUUGACUUCUGUUAGAGCUCAGUUUGUGGGAUUGGGAUGAUACGUUUGGACUCUAAUAAAAGAAGAAUUCGACCAUAAGAGAGGAGAGCUUGCUAUUACAUAGAAAAACAACAAUCUUACAACACACAAAGGCAUAAUUCAAGAGCGAUUUCAAGGAUUGAAGAGCGAAUGUUGGAGGAGUAAUUUUCAGAGAUUGUCACGACGGUUGCAAAUCGAGGCUACGUGAAGGGGUUUUCCAUAAUUCUAUUUGUAAUUGGAAGUAUGUUUUCCACAAAUUAUUCAGUUUUUAAUUCAUUCGUUAUGAACUAAUUUACUUAUUAGACUUGUGAUGGAUCUUUGGGCGAAACGAUGAUUCUAUAACUUUGAUUUCCAAUUCAAUAUGGUAUUUUCAGUUUAUCUAUGUUAAUUUGAGCGUGAAUUUAUGAAUUGCCUGAUCAACAGUUCUUUGGGGAUUUGAAAGGAAUCGAGAGAGGAAAUUCGAAUCUAGACCUAGUUAAUAUAGCACGUGUCAUGAAUUUUGUCGAUAGCAGAUUUGUGAUUAUUGUUAAGGUAGAGAUACGCUUGACAUCGUAUGUAAUCGUAUAGAGAGCUUAAACCUAAACCUUCUUUGAUCACAGUUCACAUAGAGAUAUAGUGAGUUGGUUAAUUUAGGUGUUUAACGGAUUUCUAUCUUAAUUGUGGAUUGAUGUUAAUAUGGUAUUAGUGCAUCGAGAAGUGGCUCUUACUACGUUCGUGUUCUUGAUUAAUAAACUGGAAUAUUGAAUUGAGUUGGAAUAAAGGUUGGAAAAUCAGAGGGAAGCUCAGGGUGAAAUCAUAAGUCUAAUUCUCCAUUAAUUGUUUGAAAUUCCGGAUUUCGUUAUUGGUGACUGUUUUGUGAUAGUUUAUUUCUUUAUUAAUUUAGUUUUUUUUUAUAUAUAAUUUAAAACCAUUGAAUUGAUUAGUUUAAUAAAAUUAGGGUUAAUACAAAAUUGAUAAUUGUGAAGUUAAGAUUCUUGAUAUUUUGUCCUCGUGGGAACGAUACUUUAUUCACUACUAUAUUACUUGUUGACCAUGUGCACUUGCGUGUUUUUUAAGCAUAUUAAUUUUCACCAACAUGAUGAAAGCAGUUUUCUCACGAUCUUCCUCAGCAACCAUGAUCUGAUGGUACCCUGCAAAGCAAUCAGCAAAGGAGUACAUGUCGUAUUGCGCAGUAUUAUCAAUAAGAAUGUGGAUAAAUGGCACGGGAAAGCUAUCUUUUAAGCAAGCUUUGUUCAAGUCCCGGUAAUCCACGCAAACUCGCACUUUCCCUCCGGGUUUAGGUACGGGCAUGAUGUUGGAUAUCCACUCAGGAUAUGUAGACAUCAUGACGAUGCCAGCUUGAAAUUGUUUUACAAUUUCUUCUUUCACCUUUAAACUCCACUCAGGUUUCAAUAGCCUGAGCUUUUGUUUGACUAGCUUAAAUCCCUCUUUGAUGGGAAGGCAAUGAAGGACAAUAUCAGUGGACAAACCCACCAUGUCUUCGUGAGACCAUGCAAACACAUCCCGGAAGUGGGUUAAUAGCGUAACAAUGUCAUUCCGUUGGUUUAGGUUAAGGUCUGAACCAAUCUGGAUUAACUUAGGGAUUUCUAAGGUUCCGAGAUUGAAAGAAGUGGUUUGAUCAAGGUUGGGUUUAGGUCUGUCUUUGACCCAUUCUUGAAUUUCUGGAGGCACCUCAAUGUCAUCCUGUAUAUCCAUCAAGGCUGAAUUCAUCUCUACAUCAAAGGUACAAUUCUUGUGGAGAAGAGGCACCGUAUCAGCAAGUACAUGCACAUCUAAAUUCAGAGUCCUGAAACAAAAUAUGUUUUCACUUAGUAUAUAUGAAAUGUGUUGAUUAUACACAGUGUUAGCAUACACUGACAAAAUAAACUUUUAAUAAUGUACAGAAAAGUAAACAAUUAUUAUAUCUACAGGGCAGAAAGAGUUUCUGCCCACUUUACCCUUGACGACCAAUGCAAGGAAUGUUGUUCCAAUUAGCAAGGACAAAGUCUGGGUGGAUCGCAGUGAUGGAGGGAUUGUCAUCAUCCUCCUUAUUCUAAAUGAUGGCCAUUACAUCUGGGAAAUCAUCGUCUGGGGUAUAUUUGUUGGUAUGUUCAUCAUGAACGAUGAUGCGUAUGCCUGGCAUCAUUUGGAUGACGUCUUGCUUGAUUCUUCGUUCCUCCUCUUCCACUGUGAGAUUUGGAACAAGGACUUCUUUCUCCUUUACCAGUAUCAGCUUGGGAAAUAACAUAGCCAUUUCAUUGGCUGGCACCUUUAUAGGAAGUUGUGUGGACUCAGAGUUUGAAGGUGAAGAUGAACGCCGCAUAGUUGAAGCUGAAGGAAUCUGUUGAUGCUUAUGAGGAUUCCUAUAACUAGAAUUGGCAGAAUAGCCUAGCCCAACUAUUCCAGUUUGCCUGGCUAAUUAGAUUGGGUACUUGAUACCCUAGAAAUCUUUACCCAGCCCUUAUCCCAGCUUAUGACCCAAUGACAUCAUUUCUUGAGUAGCCGACAUUACCUUGGCAUAAAUCUUGGGUUCGGGCAAUGGCAUUCCAAUAGUAUGGUAUUGGGUAUUGCUUACUUCUAAAGUAUGAAAACUGACUGGUUCCACAUCUGCAUUGGCAUUGAUGAAUGGCAUAUCUCCGUGCUGAGGAAUCUUCGGUUCAGUGUUGACCGUGACCAGGCUAUUGUUGAUAAUGUAUUUUAACUGUUGGUGAAGAGUAGAGGGGACUGCCCCUUCCAUGUGAAUCCAUGGUCAUCCCAAGAGCAGGUUGUAUCAUGAAUCUAUUUUGAGCACAUGGAAAGAUACGCAGAAUGUAUGAGGACCAAUUUCUAUUGGCAGCUCAAUUACUCCGACCGAAUUCCGGCGGGAUCCAUCAAAAGCUUUGAUGAUGGUAUGGCUACUCCGAAUUUGGUUGAGAUUGAUGUUCAUCUUCACUAAGGUAGCAUAUGGACAGAUAUUUAGAGAUGAACCUCCAUCUAUCAAGACUCCAGCUAGCAUAUAUCCAGAGGAUAAGACCGCAAUGUGCAAUGGCUUGCAAUGAUCGGUCCCCUCGGGCGGUAUGUCGUCAUCAGUGAAAGAUAUCACAUUAUUGUUGAAAAUGUGAUAAACCAGAUGUUGAAAUUUUUCCGUAUCAACUGAUGUUGGUCGAUAGGCUUCAUCUAAAACCUUCAACAAGACCUUCCGGUGAUUCUCGAAAGUUAGGACCAAGUCCAAAAUUGAUAUCUGUUGUGGAGCUUCUUUCAAGCUUAAAACAACCUUAGAUUCGUGAUGACCCAUAGUGCGGAGGAAUUUUUCAAUUUUCUCCAUGGGUAUUUUCCCCUUUGAUUUGAUGGUAGGCUUCAUCACCCGUUGGGGAAGAUAUAGUGGAUUUUCCUUCGACACUGUAGCAGUUGUAUGUGAGGUGGAUCCUUCACCUUCUCCAUAAUUCCACAGAACUUUGGUCAAGCUAACAAUGGGAUAUUGUGCUCUGUACGACAAGUUGAUUGGCGCGGGAGUGGCCACUUUCAAAGGAUUGUUGCUUCCCUUGAGUUGAAUUAUUGGCAUUAUGAAUGAUUUGUUAACCCCAUCAGCUUCACUGGAUAUGACUGCUACCACACUCUUCCACUUAGUAGGACCUGAAUUCUCACUUGCACGUAACACAGUAUCGUCGUCCGCUAGGUGUAGGACACCACUGUCAGUUAGAUUUUGGAUAAGGUGGCUGAGUGCCCAACAUUCUUCUGUGCUGUGAUCGCGAGACUGGGAGUGAUAUUGGCACACUCCAUCAGAGUUGUACCGUCCUGAACGGGGGUUGAUUAGAGGUAGAAGGGAACUUAUCCUUCCUUCAUUGAUUAACAUAUGAAGGAUUUCCUCUAUAGGUUGGUCCAAAUAGGUGAAUUCCCUUUUGUUGGUAAAAUCCCGACGGGCUUUGGCAUUUGAUCUCUUUGUCACUUUGUCUUCCAGCAUUUAAUUUUCUGAAAGUGACGAGGGAACAUUCAUGACAAGAGGUAGGAGACUGGCAUGCUCCUGGCUGAUUAAUUGACGUGUCACUUGAUGCUGAUAAGUCACCAAUUCUGCCAAUUAUUCAAUUUGUUUGCAUAAAUCUUUUAACUUUUGUUCCAUUGUGAACUCGAACUUGGCAUAAUCCCAUUUUUCAUCACCGUCUUUGAGGGUCUGGGAUGAUUCAUAGCUGAAAUUAGAACUCUGUCCAUUGCUCCAAUUGAUCAUGUUAACCUCUUCUUCUUUGUGUUGAGGAAGAGGGUUGUCUUGAACGUGAGGCUGAUCUGGUUUGGUGACCAUGAUCUCCCCAUUGUCUAUCAGGUCCUGGAUCUUGUGUUUCAAGGCCCAACAAUCCUGAGUAUCAUGUCCAGGUGCCCCGGCAUGAUAAGAACAUUUCUGAGCAGCAUUGAAACCCCAUCCAUUAGGGCUGGUUGGGGGAAGAAGAUGCGUCAUUUUCUUCUGUGUUGUCUGAAGAUUAAGAAUGUUCUUGAGGGUAUCCCCUAAGGGUGUAAACACUCGAGGGCAUUUGACUUCUCCACCUUUUGGUAUUAGAGGGUUUACAGACUGUGCUUGAAAGGGAGUGUACUUUCUCCUUUGAAUAAGCAUGUUCUGAUCGCCUUUUUGCCCCUGUAGUAUCAGCGAAACAUCUUCCUCUUUCUUUUUAUGGACCCUCCGAGGGCUGUUCCCAUAAUUUUCAGAUUGGAUGGGAUCAGCAACAGCUUUGAGUGCAGCUAGGUCUUGAAUUUUCCCGGACUUCAAUCCCAUCUCAGCCAUCUCCCCAUGUUUGACCAUUUCAGAAAAUGGUUUGCCGAUGCCGGCUAAAACUCUCUCAUAGAAAGAAGCUUCUUGUAUGUCUAUGAAAGUCAUGACCAUCUCUGAUUCUGUCAUGGAAGGACUAACUUGGGCAGUCAGGCGUCUCCACCUUUGAGUAUACUCUCUAAAAGACUCGUUAGACUGUUUCUUGAUCUUGGUAAUUUGAUACCUAUCAGGAGCCAUCUGAGUUUGAAAGAUGUAUUGAGUGAGGAAAGCAUAUGCUAGCUCUUCCCAACUAUGAAUCUUUGAAUUGUCUAAUCUUGUGUACCACGACCGGGCUUCUCCAGUUAGACUUUUCUGGAACAAUUGCAUUCUAAGCUUUUCGUCCUCUGCAUAAGAUCUAAGUUCUCCAAUAAACACCUUUAAAUGUGUGUAAGGAUCUCCUAACCCAUCAUAUUUUUCAAAGUCAUGAGUUUUAAACUUUUCUGGAUAAUGCACACCAGGAAAAAUACACAGAUCAGCAUAUGAAACACUCCCAUGUGUUCCAAUUCCUUUAACAGCACGAAGGGUCUCUUCCAAGUUCUUUUUGAUGUCACUAGUGUCUAGAUCUCCAGUGGGAUGGGCAGCAUCAUGAGUUUUGUUGGUCGUAUCCAACUGCAGUUCAGGUAUUGUAAUGACCUGGGUUCCUCCUUGUGUGGAGGAUUCAACAUGUACUGGUACUUUAUGACCCUCUGUAGACUGGUGUAAUUCUUUGAGUAGAACAGCCAAAUCUGUAAUUUAUUUACUUAAUCCGUCGAAUUCUUUGCGAGAAACUGGAUUAAGUUUAGUCUGGUCGGAUGACAACAUGAUUGACUGUAGGCAUGUUGCCUUUUUGGACUUUGAACGGGUAGUAGGUCCAAUUAGUUCUCUACGAGAGACUUGCAUAGUUUAGUCUUUAGGGAGUUCAUAUAAUAACAUGCUAUGUGAUGUGUCCAUUUUAGGAAUUUUAUCCUGCAAAAUGGAUGUCAGCUGUUUGUAGCAUGUUAAUAUGUAUGUGUACACAUUUCUUCAUAUUUCUCAUUACAUGGAGAUAGAUAUGGAAUGUAAUUACAAGUAAUUGUGUUUACAAGUAAUUUGAAAUGAGGGCAUGAAGAGACUUUUCCUCCGUUUUGGGUUUAUCAGAGGCUGACCUAUCUUAGGUUACUCUCGCAGCUUUUUGGCAUGAAGGUUCCCAAAUCAUCGCAAUCUACUUGAGGAGAAGUUAAUCUGGUCUUUCAACUGGAGCGAAUUUGGGUGGUGCCUUUCCUGAGCCUCGGAGAAUUAGUCUUCUCACGAGUCCAGUAAUCAAACACCGACGGGAUAGCCUCCUCGUGGAGGGACCACACAACAUACAUUUACAUACAUCGUGUCUCACCGUAUGAAAAAUGAUGACAUGUGCGAAGCACUAAUAUCACAAGCAGAUAUGGUGCGAAGCACUAAUAUCACAAGCAAUUAUGGUGCGAAGCACUAAGUGCAAUAAGGAAAUGCGUUCGUACACAUUCAUCAAAUGUAAAUGCAACAUCCACACACAAGCAGAUAACAGUUUUAAAAAGAUUGUAAUAGCGGCUUAAGUCCUCUUACUGGAGUUCCCAGCAGAGUCGCCACCUGUCGAUGUCGGGAUUUUUAGAUGUCCCUUUCCGUUACUUGUUCUUUGGUGUUCUCAUUUUAGGUGUGAUUUGUUUGAAAAAACAAGUUAAAAAGGUCCGACAUGUAUAAUGUCGACGAUGGACUGUUAAGAGUCACCAGUUUGUUUUUUAAAGGGUUGUACCAACACAACCGAGAAAAGGUUUGCACAUUGACCUAGAGAUGUGACACUGCUAAACGGGUCGGUGAAAUCGAGAUUCAUUAGGGUCCGAGUUGGUUAUGCGGAGGGAUGGUGUUAGGCACCCCCCGACAUCUGUGUUGCCAUGGUGACCGCCUCUUUUCAAGAAACUAUUAUCUGAAUGUGUGUGUGUGUGGGUCAAUGUGAUGUUAUUUGGAAGUAGUGCGAGGCCUUGUUCGAACCUAUAUACACAAGGUUUGAAUUUAUGUAAAAAUUCAGUUUUUAGCACGAUAUAGCAAUGAAAUUUUAUAAAAAGGUUUUUCAAACCCUGAUGCUCAAUAGUAAUUGAGACCUUUUACACUCCCAUUUUUUUAAGUGUUUGGCUUGAUUGAUUUUAUUUUACAAAUGUGAGGCAUCCGUACGAAAAUAAUGUACAAAAGUAAUGCCGACUUCCACAUGGGUAUGGAAACCAUCUCAGGAAAUUCGGACACCGCAGAAUAAUUUACAAGCUGCUUAUAGCUAAAAAUGUCCAUCACGGGAACUGAAUCUAGAUCCAAUAGGCUGAAUCUGUGAUCACAUGAUUCCUAGGCGCACAAGAUACUGCAAUUUGUAUGAAAGCAGUAAGCAGGUAUAUAUAUAAAAGCUGUAAAUAUAUAUAUACAGACAGGAUCACCAACCAAGAAGCACCUCCAUGGGGGAUCAGAAAAGUAAAUAAAGUUGUAAAAGCUAUCAACCGCCACGGAGGAAACUCAAGGCAGGACAAAACAUAAAUGAAGUUGUAAAUAUGGUCAACCGCCAUGAAGGAAACUCCAGGCGGGACGAAAUGUAAAUAAAGUUGUAAAAGCGAUCAACUGCCACGAAGGAAACUCCAGGUAGGACGAAUAUAUAUAUAUAUAUAUAUAUAUAUANNNNNNNNNNNNNNNNNNNNNNNNNNNNNNNNNNNNNNNNNNNNNNNNNNNNNNNNNNNNNNNNNNNNNNNNNNNNNNNNNNNNNNNNNNNNNNNNNNNNNNNNNNNNNNNNNNNNNNNNNNNNNNNNNNNNNNNNNNNNNNNNNNNNNNNNNNNNNNNNNNNNNNNNNNNNNNNNNNNNNNNNNNNNNNNNNNNNNNNNNNNNNNNNNNNNNNNNNNNNNNNNNNNNNNNNNNNNNNNNNNNNNNNNNNNNNNNNNNNNNNNNNNNNNNNNNNNNNNNNNNNNNNNNNNNNNNNNNNNNNNNNNNNNNNNNNNNNNNNNNNNNNNNNNNNNNNNNNNNNNNNNNNNNNNNNNNNNNNNNNNNNNNNNNNNNNNNNNNNNNNNNNNNNNNNNNNNNNNNNNNNNNNNNNNNNNNNNNNNNNNNNNNNNNNNNNNNNNNNNNNNNNNNNNNNNNNNNNNNNNNNNNNNNNNNNNNNNNNNNNNNNNNNNNNNNNNNNNNNNNNNNNNNNNNNNNNNNNNNNNNNNNUAAGUUACCCUGAUUAGCAUAUAGUAUAUAUACACAGCAAUCAAGAGUUUUAUAUACAUUGUCUCUUAUUUUGUUUGACGAUGAAUUAUUCAAUUCUCAUCAACGCCUAUCUUUCUCUGCCGAAAGGCUGCUCCAUCCACUCUGUAUCGAAUCGCAUAAAGGAGAUGUCUAAAGCCUGCUCCAAGGUAUAUAUCCUGGUGUCUUUGGCUUCUAUCUCAACCUUCAACUGUCCUAUUUGUAUCUCCCUUUGCUCCAACCUCCCUCAUAACUCGGCUAACUCCAUCUGUGCUCGGUGAGCAGCGUCCUUGUACUGCUGGAAAUCUUGAGAGUACGAUUUCGUGCCUCCGCUUGCUCGACUCUAACCUUUAAGUCAUCGUUCCUAACUAACAAAUCUCUUAUCAUCUCACUGUCUGUGUACUCCUCGCUAGAGUCCAUCGUCUCUUGGGUCAAGGAAUUACUACUUUGACUUUCGUCAUCCAUCCUAUGACCACAAUAAACGAGACAACAUUAGUACCGAAAUAAAAUAUAUUCAUCGGUAAAAUGAAGGAAUAUUUUAUUUAGUACAACUAAAACUUGAUGGAUCUCUUCGACUCAUCAUAUCCUAUAACUCCUCACCAGAGUACUUCGUCUCCUGGUUCACUUAACUUUCGUUCUCCAUUCUACUAAGGUUAUAACCUAGGUUUUCGCACUCCUAACGUUUAUAACCUACAGCUUUGAUACCAACCUAUGACGCCCCCGAAUCCGGGUACUUGAAACCCGAACUCAGUGCUUCACGAUACCAUUUCUUUAAGCUGAAUAAUACUAAAUAAUAAUACAUUCGAACUUAAUUUACAUACAUCAAAGUUUACUUCCCCAGGUACGUGACCUUCAAAUACAUUCCUUACAAUACCUGACAAUAGAUUCCAUUGUCUUACUAACUAUAACCAUUAACUCAUACUAAAUCUCAUUCGAAUAGCUUUUCUUUUCCCUUGUUCGUGCCUGAGCCUUCAGGUCGAUCGUACGUAACUGAAAACAUUUAAUUUAAGCAAGGAUGAGCAUUUGAGUGCCCAGCAAGUAAUAGCAAUUAUAUAUAUAAGCUGAAAGAAUAUAAGUAUUCUCUUUACAUAACACUUCUAUAACGAAUAGAAAGUUGUGAAGUAAUCUGUACUGUUAAAAAAUUCACAUAACAACUCUCUUUCAAAUUCUUGAAAUGAGGCUCCACCCAUGAAUAGGGUUUAAGAAACAUACUAUGAACAUUCUUUUUCAUUUUCAAAAAGGUUUAACAGAAAUUCAUCCGCAAACCGUCAUAACUUACGGGCACGGAGGAUGAUCAGCCCCGUUGUACCCUGUAUUGAUCAAUACUACAUAACUUGAACGAAAUUCAUCGCUCACCCUUUGUCCGCCGAAGCGCAUAAAAAUUUUCCCAUUAUCGGGAUGUUCAUACAUGCCUGGUUCCAAACCCGAAGGUUUUUAAUCUUGCUCAACAAUAAUAUGUAAUUCAACAUAUAUGUAUACGGGUAAUUGACANNNNNNNNNNNNNNNNNNNNNNNNNNNNNNNNNNNNNNNNNNNNNNNNNNNNNNNNNNNNNNNNNNNNNNNNNNNNNNNNNNNNNNNNNNNNNNNNNNNNNNNNNNNNNNNNNNNNNNNNNNNNNNNNNNNNNNNNNNNNNNNNNNNNNNNNNNNNNNNNNNNNNNNNNNNNNNNNNNNNNNNNNNNNNNNNNNNNNNNNNNNNNNNNNNNNNNNNNNNNNNNNNNNNNNNNNNNNNNNNNNNNNNNNNNNNNNNNNNNNNNNNNNNNNNNNNNNNNNNNNNNNNNNNNNNNNNNNNNNNNNNNNNNNNNNNNNNNNNNNNNNNNNNNNNNNNNNNNNNNNNNNNNNNNNNNNNNNNNNNNNNNNNNNNNNNNNNNNNNNNNNNNNNNNNNNNNNNNNNNNNNNNNNNNNNNNNNNNNNNNNNNNNNNNNNNNNNNNNNNNNNNNNNNNNNNNNNNNNNNNNNNNNNNNNNNNNNNNNNNNNNNNNNNNNNNNNNNNNNNNNNNNNNNNNNNNNNNNNNNNNNNNNNNNNNNNNNNNNNNNNNNNNNNNNNNNNNNNNNNNNNNNNNNNNNNNNNNNNNNNNNNNNNNNNNNNNNNNNNNNNNNNNNNNNNNNNNNNNNNNNNNNNNNNNNNNNNNNNNNNNNNNNNNNNNNNNNNNNNNNNNNNNNNNNNNNNNNNNNNNNNNNNNNNNNNNNNNNNNNNNNNNNNNNNNNNNCUACCCAGAUCUUCAUAAGGCAGAACCGAGUGGCCUACUUUGACCGUAAAUAACUCUCUCAUCUUAACGAAUUUGGACAAUCUAUAAAUUGGGACUUGUAGAGGAAAUACAAGAAUAUACGAUUCCACAAUUAUAACCUCUAAACAAACAUCAGAUCUGGGAUACAUCAGCCAUCAAAGUAGCUACCAAAGCUGUUCUUCACGAAGAACAGUUCGAGGUGCCUACUUUAGACCUCUAUAACUUGAUGAUCGUGUAACUUUUAUGUGAUAUAUCAAUUCCAGUGUGUAGACAACAUGUAGGACUACAACUCUAACACUUAACAUCAUCAUAAAAACAAGAAAUAAAGCAUCUAAAGUAUGGUCAAACAUUGUCAGAAAAAUUAACACUUAGAAAAUUCUGGGCUGCCCAGAAUUUUCUGGUCAAUGCCGGUCAACCCACUUUGACCUUUAAUAAGUCUUAAUCCGUAAUAUAUAUGGACCUGAUUCUUUUUGGAGGUUAAAUACCACAUAACAAGCUACACAUAUCAACCUUUAGAACACAUAACACAUUAACGAUAACCGAGAUAUAAGGCCUGACAUUUUCCAAAAUAAUAUUUCUGGACACUUAGAAUAUUUUCUGGGUUUGAAAAAACAGCCGGUCAAUGCCGGUCAACCCACUUUGACCGCUUAUAAAUCCCGAUCUACAAUAGAUAUAGACCUGAUUCCUUUUGGAAUUUAAAGACCACAUAACAAGCUACACCUAACAACUUUUAAACAAUAAAAACAGUAAAUAAUCACAGAGAUAUAAGUCUUGACAUUUGCCCAAAAAUCACAGAAUUCGGUUUUUCCAACUUGCUCAAAUCUUCAAAUUCGUGCACUUUGAUGUUAUGGGUUCAUGAUUUUACAACCCAGAACAUUAAUAGACUCCCUAUUACACUACUUUAAACAACCAAUUGCAUCAAUUAACAUCGAAUCGAAGGAUUUCAAAAUUAGGAAAUUUCAUACCUUUUCUAGCUUCGAUUUUUGAUUUUUUCUGGCUUUGAUGCUUCUGAUUUGUUGUUUGUGAUGGCUGGGCUUUGAUUAGGAGCUUAUGGGCAAGAUAAUUUCGUUGGUAAGAGCUUGAGAGAGUAAAGCUAGGUGUUUGCUAUAAUUUUAGUGUACAAAUGAGUUUAAUCUCUCCUUAAUUUAUAGAAUUGAUUGAAUCAAUCAAUGUAAGGGCUGAUAAUUGAUGGUGUAAUGACAUAGAAGCAUAAGUAAAUUCUAGAGUAUGGUAGGUGGCCAGAUUUUG
rnacentral:lncRNA from 1 species